ACCUUAGAUGUGAGAUUGCUCCUUGUUGUAGAGAAGAAGGGACAUGCUAUUGCAGGCUCUGUUCUUAAGAUCUGGACUUUUCCAUGAUUAGUUGGUUCUCAAGUUACUCACGGGGAUAGGUAUGUAUACAUGUUAUCUUUCCCUGUUCAGUAAGUGUCUGUUCUUAAGUCAUGGAAUUUACCUGACUAAUUUCCCUUAUUUCUCUGAUUCUGACACGCAAAAAUUACUUUUGCAGCAUUCACCAGAAGUGGAAUGAACUCGGUAUUAACUUUCUGUCUGCAUUUACCAAUACAAAGUACUUAUUCCCACACUCACAAUCUUCUCAUUUGUGAGCAUACUGUGAUACCCAUUGAAAUCUAUGGGGGAAAUGGAUUUAUUGCGCUUCAACCCUUCCAUUCCAGCAAUGAAGGCAUUUCGUGGACUGGAUAGCACUCAAUGAAAUCUUUGCCCUUUGUUCAUUUUCAUGACUAUUCAUAUUCUGCUUCAUGGAAUCAAAAGUGCAUAGCCCUGGACUCUGGAGUUGCUGGCUGGCAAACAGGGUGAGUAGAUUUGUUUCUGCUAUUUCUUGACUGGCUGUUUGGGAGGCGGGUAAUUAUCAUGGGUAUAAUCAGAAUCUGGGAAGAAUCUCUUCUGAAGUAUUAGCAAAUUGUCCACAUUCUACUUGUUCAUUUCUAGCAUUGUAUUAAAGCACAUGUUGCUGGUUCAAAAUUCCUCGUCCGUUAUGUUGUUAGUUAUCAUUCCCCCAGUUAUUCCAUUGAUGCGAUUACAUCCACAUUAUGUUGUGCUUGUGUAAGGGAUUGAUUCUACACAAGGGGAGUGUUAAGUUAUCUGUUAUAUAUACGUUGUUUGGCAUAAAAUCAAACAUAUUCCAAAAGGAUUUUAAGCUUGGACAGUUAAAAGCCGCAUAUAUGCUGGCGAACUUCAGCUUAUUAAAUCUGUUAUUCAUGAUGUGGUUAACCAUUAGUGUCGACUCUUUUUGUUGCCCAAGAAAGUUUCUGAUAUGGUCGAGCAGAAGUGUAGAGCUUUCCUUUGGAAGGGAGAGAUCCUGAUGCUUAAAAGGGAACAAAAGUUAGAUGGGACACUGUCUGUCCUCCUAACUAGUUUGGGAGGCCUUGGCAUGCAAAGACUGGAUAUAGGAAAUCUUGCUUAUAUUUUGAAGUGCCUGUGCAGUAUUUUGUUGAGAUGCGGGCCUCUGUAUUUUGCCUGGCUGUAUAGGCAUAAUCUUUACUGUAAACCAGAUGCUUCUCAUUAUGCCUGGAAGAAGUUAUCAACGGUCGGGGAAAAUUUUGGAAUGCCAUAUUAGAUAUAUAUUGGUUAAUAAAGAUAGUAUCUCUUUGGUAUGAUUUGUGGCAUCAUUCUGGGAUCUUGCUGGAAUCAUUUCUCAAGGAGAAUAACUUAUGACUCUUCUCUUCCUAUGCAGGCCAAAAGUAUCUGCUGUAUUUGGUAACUCUCAUUGGAAGUGGCCCACGGCUAGGUCUAAAGAGUUGGUUAUUGUCCAAGGUGCAGUUUGUAGUGUGAUAUUUCCUAAUUCCUCAGCUGCGGGCAAAUUUGGAUGCCCGGCUUCCUCAAAUGGUUGCCUUAACUCUUUUGUUGCUUGGGAGAUUAUUCGAAACAAGGGUGCUAAUGUUGACUGGCACAAACCUGUGUGGUUCUCCCCUAGUGUUGCAAGAUUUGGCUUUAUAUCUUGGUCAGUAAUACAUGACAAACUCCCUACUUUUGAGAGGAUUAACAGUUGGUCUGUUGGGAGUACUAGAUCUUUCUGCUUGUUCUGUAAUCUAAGCAUUGAAUCUUGCUGUCAUCUAUUUCUUGAGUGUAGUUUUUCUAAUGGACUACGGAGCAAGGUACUCUAGCUUUGUUCUGUCAAACUAAUUACUGAUACAAAAUGUUAUCUAAUUCUUGAUGUUUGAUGACAUCAAAAUUAUCAAGUUAUGUUAGGAAUAGUUUUGAGAGUUGUCUUGGUCUCAAAAUAAGAUUGGCAUUGAUGAGCAUCGUAGGUUGUGUGUUGCUUGGAAUCUAACUUUGUGAAAACUAUCCAGCUAAGAGUACGGUUUGCUUGAGGUUGUGCUGAUUGUUGCUCUUUGGUGUGUAGAGUUGCAUGUUUUGCUCUGUCAUCUCUCAGCUUGUGAUGGCAGACAAAUGUCAACUUCAAUCUCUUGUUUAGGGUCCAAUUCUUUCGGAGGUCCGAUUUCUAUAUUAGUGGCCUUCGCAUUUCUUCAAAUAGUUUUUGAGGAAGAACCCCAAUCCAUGAAAGGGAGUUGCUCUGAGAGUAGGAAAGUAAAAGCUUAUUUAACUACAAGAUUCAAAGUGGGAUUUUACCUCAUUCUACUCUUUUCUUUUUCUUGGUUAAUUUAAAUUUCAUUUAGUUACAUCCGCAUGAAAUUCAGCCUCCGAAAUUCGGCCUUCUUCUUGCAGUUAGUUGUCAUUUCGUCCUCAUGGAAUCGUUGAGGGAGUUUGUGCUUGUGCUUACUUUUUUGAAAAACAAGUUUGCCAAUGAAGACCUGUUCCAAGAAGCAGCCCUACUACGUCUUUGACAAGAAAAUCCAACUUACGAAGCAAUUUUGCCCACUUCAAAGUUCAAACCCGUGUCCUUUAAACUAUGUUGAAAACAAUAAAUACAAUUUUGAAAAGGAGAUAACUAGAGAAACUUGGCCAUAUUUUAUAUGAUUUUAACAUGGUGAAUUGGUAUUCUUACAGCAUGGAAUUGGGAAGACAUGUGCUUACUUGCGCUCAUUGUAUUCACGAGAUCCGGAUAAUAAGUUCUUAUGGUAGCGCUGUUACUUAGAUAAAUCCUAAUGAUAAAUGCAGCAGAUUGUUUCUGAAAGUGAUUUAUUUGGGUCUGUUUGGUUUUUCUUCUAUUGCAAAAUCUUUGGAUGAUUAGGUAUUAUUGCGAGAAAUGAAAGCAGAAUAGAAAGUAUGAGAAAAUUUUGUAUAUAGUUCAAUUGAUGGUUGCAUAUGUAUAAAGAUAUUCUAUCGCACUCGAUGUCUUUAUUGGCUUCUCGGUAACUCUAAAGUGCUAAUAUAUUUGGUCACGAAUUCCACAAUUAUUCAUAUUCACAUAAAUUAGUGAUUAAGAUGAGUGAGAUACUAAUUAUCAAAUUACGGGGACACAAAUAGGGGUAAAGGAUCUCGUUCCCCCCGGUAAGGACACAAUGAAAACCCUAGAUGACCGACGUAUAGAAAACUCUGUAAACCCCGAUCUAGUCUAAUACAUUAAAAUGGAAUCGUUGACCAGUUCGUUAAAUAUAAAAAGGGGAAAGUAGUCUUCUAAUUCUACCCUUUGCCUACUCUCACCUUCAAGCUCAUUUUUAUGUAAUUGUCUUAAAACUACCAAUUUUAAUGCACUUGACAAUCCUUGACACGAAAAAACACAUGAUAAUAACCAAAAAAAGACAAAAAACCAAUUUCUGUGUGUAUAUACACACACUUAUUAAUCUCGCAUUUGUCCGAUGUGCAUGCGCUAUAAUAUUGACAUGAUAUAAAACACUUUGAUCUUCAAACAAAAUUAAUAAAGUGGGGUCAUAUUCAUUGCCGAUAAAAAUUGAUCACAUCACUUUAACAAAUUGGUAAACGAGUGAUAGGUAUCCUAGUAUUAUCCUCCAUUAUCCUCCAUUAUCCCACUCUAUUUUUUAUGGGUUUCUUGUGCCAAAUAACUUACAGAUUUCUAGUUUCAUCUCUUUGAUACCUAUUGUCGUUCUCAAAGAUUUAGAGAUGUUGAAAUUCUUACACCUAACUACUCGACAGAAACUCUCUUGUUAAGGAUUAUUCAACAUCAGAAAAAUGUGACGCGUGUGUAUCUAAACUACAAUGCCCGUGGUCUCGUUAAUGAAACAUUAGACUAUUCACAUAUUUGUCACAAUUUUUUUCUUCUUUCUUUUCAGGCACUGAAAGACUUAACACCAUGAAAGAAAUGGCCAUUAAGUCAAAGAUUUGAAGUGUGCAAUGCACGCAGCUAGUUAGGAAGUUCUUCAGAAGCUACCAUGGACGUGUGGUGUGACAUCCCGGAUUUUCAGUCAUGUUUUCUACUGAAUAAAUCGGGCAUUUCAUUGCCGCGUCUAUAGAGCUGUUAUCAGAACUGAUCAUUCUAGAGAUAACUAGACUAUCUGGGGAAACUAUUAAGAAUUUUAAGGCAAAUAGACUUGAGAAUUCGACCAGAAAUCGACUUCUCGACCGUGCUCUUCUAUCGAGAUUAUUACGGCACAGAUAUAAGUCAAUUUGAGAUCAGAGAUAGGUCGGUUCGACUGAGAUGUGUGGCUGAUCGUGGGUGACAUCACUAAAUUGGAAAAUUCUCGUCGACCAACACUAGACUGAUUUUCUUAUCGUUUUGGUACCCUAUGUCUGUAUUUGAAUUCUCGAGAUUUUCAUGACAAUCGAGAGUCGUCAUUGAGUCGAGUGGGUUCAUUGUGGCUCGAAGAAAAUCGACUACGGGUCAUUUGCACUGAAAAGUAUCUGAAAAAUACCUGGUAGUUUAGGUCACGCUAAAAACGCGUCGAAUGGAAAUUAACCGUGAAUUCGAACCCGAUUUCAAAAAUUGAAAGUUUUGUGGGGUCACGAGCUAUUUUAGAAACGUUGACUCAGUCUCAGAAGAUUUUUCGGAGAUUCCGGAAUUUUUACAGAAAAUUGAUUCGGACUCCGCGGAAAAUCAACAGAAAUUCAGAUCGGCCGAAUUGAAGAGAUUUUCGACUUUCAAUCUGAGCUAUAAGGCGAAGGGGACCUAUAGAAAUUAUGUAGACUUUUUCUACAUCAAAUUGGACAUCGAAUUUGGAAAAUUGUCGAAGAAAUAGAUGUCCCAAAAAAUUGUGAAAUUCGGAUUUAAAGGAGGGCAGCAUUAAUUUGGACUUUAAAUUGAUUUAUUGGUGGAAUAUUGUGCUUGAAAGUAAUUGAGAGACAUAGGGGAUGAGAUUGUGGGCUUGUGGGGCCAAAGCAUUCAAUGUAAUGGCUAAGGAUUAUCUAAGUUCACCCUCCUCUUAGCUGGCUUCUCCUUUACGUGCGCUCCAUCUUCAGUCUUCAUCAUCGCUCGCCAAUCUCCCCCUCCGCAACUACAUCUCUCUCUCCCUCUCGUUGUUGCUUCAGCCCGAGAGCCCACCGACCGGCCCACAACAAACGAAGCAGCUUCACGUGUGACGUCCCUUGCGGUUGCCUCGUCCAGCGCGCGUCCACGAAGCCCACCGAAGCCACCGAAGGAGUUGCUGUUAGGGAAAUCCCUUAUGAUGUUUUGAAGAUGACAAAAUAAAUUAAAGGCUACUAACAUGUUUGAUGGUUGAGUAAUAGACUAUGCAGAUGUUAGAACAUGUAAAGAAUAUUGUCAAAGUCUAUACUUGGAAGAACCAGAAGAUAGACUCUAUGCUGAAGCUGAAUUGGGUACAGAUCUUAAAGCUAAAUCUGUUCAGAAGCAGAAUAUGUUCAAACUCAUAUUGCAAAGUCUAUCACACUCAGACUCAGAUUGUAAAGUCUAUUGCUCUCAGACUUUAAAUCCAGAAUGAGACGGAUCGUAACUCAAGCUCCGAAGAUACAACGGCUAGUGAUCUGGUUUGGAUUCCACAUCAAGAUUGAUUUGAUUGACUCAAUCUAUUUGAUUGACGAUUGGAUUUUGAAGACAAGAACUUUCUAUACGAAGAAGCUUUAUUUAUGGAAACCAAGAUUUCGUUUGUAUGGGCGAUCGGAAUCAAUUUGGGAUUCUACCUUUGUCACUCAACGACUACAAAAUCUUCUUAAUACAGAGCUGUCCAAUAGGUAUAUUGGAAGACGAUCAUCAAGAUACUGUCCAACGGCUAGUUUGGAAGUGGAGGAGUAUUUAAGGAGAUGAAUGACUGAUGAGCAAGUAAGAGAUAGAGCGUAGAAUUUAUAAUUCCAAAGUCUGAGCGACCUUCGAUCAUACACUUGUCUUUGGAGAGCUUAAACGUUUGUGAUCGUGAGAGAAAUACCAAAAGAGUGACUUAGUGAGAUAGUGUGAUCUACUAAGUGUUUGCACUCAAAGUUGUAAUCUCUUGUUGAUUGCAUAGUGGAAUCCAGCCAAUAAGGUUGUUAGCGUGGGAGAGUGGACGUAGGCUUGGAUUAAGCCGAACCACUAUAAAUCUUGUGUUCUUAUUGUCUUCCUUAACUCAUUUAUUUUACUCGAAAUUUAUUUUAUUCCGUAUAUAUUUGCCAAGGUUUAUUUUAUACACCUAUUCACCCCCCUCUAGGUGUUUAUACUAGCACUCUCAAUUGGUAUCAGAGCCAAGUGCUCGGUUUAUAAAAGUGUUUUUACUUUUGAGCUAAAGAUCUUUUAUGGCUAGUAUCUUGGCACAAGGAUUUAUGGAAUGACAAAGCAACACAAGGCCACCAUAUUUUGAUGGAAAUGAAUACAACGUGUGGAAGAACAAAAUGAAAACAUUCCUAAGAUCUAGAGAUCCCUUGCAAUGUGAUGUUGUGGAAAAAGAAAUCAAUCCCACUGCUGCGUCUACAUCAAAUAAGAAUAGCAAAGACAAAGAAACCAAACCCCCCGCUCCUAUGUCUCGGACGGAGAUGUCCAAAAGAGAAGCACUUGAUGCAAAAGCCAUUUAUUCUUUAUAUUGUGCAUUGUUUCCUGUUGAAUAUAACAGAAUCUCUUCAUGUGAAAUAGCAAAAGAAGUUUGGGAUAGACUUCAUGUUACAUAUGAAGGGACCGAUCGUGUAAAAGAGACAAAAGUAAACUUCCUACUUGGCAAAUAUGAAUCAUUCAAGAUGAAGCAAGGAGAGUCGAUUGGAGAUAUGUUCAAUCGUUUUACAGAAAUUGUAAACGGUUUGGCAUAUCAAGGUCAUCCAAUUUCUUCCCCAGUGAAAGUCAACAAACUCUUGCAAGGUCUCUCAAAAGAUUGGAACCAUGUCAAGACCUCAAUCCGGGAGACUCAAAGGAAUAUGCCACUCUCCGUUGAUGAAUUGAUCGGCACUCUUCAAUCCUAUGAAGUGGAACAAAUCAACAAUGAAAAUCCCAAAGGUAAGAAGUCCAUUGAGUUAGUAUCUAACACUGUUUUUGAUGAAACAGACUCAGAAAAUGACAUGGACAACGAAGAAUUUGCUUUUAUGAUCGAGAAAUUCAAAAAGCUGAGUAGAAAAGGAAGGAAGUUUAGUGAAAGAAGACAAUACAAGCAGAAUGGCCAGAAAAGAAUAAUGAAAGAAGAUGAUGAGCAAGGAAAUAUAUACUUGACGGCACAUUCAGAAUCUGAGUCUGAGUUAGACACAGACUCAGAAUCAGAGUCUGACUCAGACACAGACUUAGAAUCCGAUGAGGAAAUUGAGGUAAGUCAUUCAAAAAUUCCUCUCAAAGUUUCAAAGUAUAUAAAUGAGCUUUGCUCAAAUCUCAAAUCUUCUCUUAAAAGGAUUUUCGAACUUAAAAAGGAGAAUUCUCGGCUUAGGCAACAUGAUCUUUCUCAAAAAGAAAAGUUUGAAAUUUUGCAAAAAGAUUUUCUACAAACAAAAGAAAGUCGAGAUUUACUUGUCAAAGAAAAUGAUUCUUUAAAGAAACAAUUUUCAAAUAUUUCGACAAGAUUUUCAAAUGGUUCAAAAACAUUAGAGCAUAUCCUUUCUAUACAAGUUCCUUACUAUAAUAAGUCGGGACUUGGUUUCAUUAAGGAAAAUGAUUCUCUAAUAGAUUUUCCUAAAGUCAAUGAGAGACUUAGACAAAGACCUUCAAAGGCGUUUUACAAAAAUCAUUUUCAAAAAGUGUUUGUAAAACCUGUUGGUGGAAAUGACGUCAAGUGUUCAAAUUGUGGAGAUUCGGAACACUUUGAAAAAUAUUAUCCUAAAGUUUGGAGACCUAUUAAGAAAAAUUGGGUAAAAACAACAUAUUCUACUAACUCUCAUGGACCCAAGAAAAAAUGGGUACCAAAGAAAAGAUGAGUUAUUUUUGCAGGAUAUAAAGAAGAAAAAAGAAAGGAUUUGGUAAGGAAUUUUUUAUUCUCAAUUUGAUUUGGGCAAUAAUUCUCAUUAUACUUGAUAUUCGAUAUAUCCUUGGUAGAUUGAGAUUUUAUAAUGAUCAUAUUUUGCUUUAUUGAAGAAAGAAUCGUAUGAUUUGUUUUUAUGAUUUGUGAGUUGAGAUUUGAUUUAGUACGUGUGAUUAUUUGAGAUAAUUCAGAUUAUUUUGUCUAAUUUUAUACUUCAGAUUUAAUCAUAUUUUGCAUAAUGAAAAUCUGUUUUACGUAAUGAUGCAAAAUAUUCUUAGAUAUUCAAAGAUUUUAUUCUCUCUGUUUUUAUCGUACUAUGACUAAGUGAGAAUUUAUUUUUCAAAAUAUCAUUGUGCAUAAUAUUCUUUCUUUGAAUACUUUGUUAUGAUGAAUUAAGAAAUAAUAUUUGGAGAUUAUAUAUUUUGCUCUAACGUCAUGGAAGGAUCCAAAUUGAUGGAUACCAAAAAGGGAAAUGAGUUGAUUGCAGGAAAUUCUUUAAGGAAUGAAUGAUCGCAAAUCUAUGCAAAUCAUGAUGCAAUCAGAAAUGCACCUCAUGCGAAGAUUGGUAAUGGUUUUUUUAAUGGUAUAUUUCAAACAUAUACCAUGGGUAAGAGAAUAUUUUUAUCAUCCCACCUUGCAAAUCUCUACGUGCAUUUUGGAUGAUUGUUUAUUAUAUUGCAAAUAUAUUUUGUCAUAAAUAUAAGGCAUUGCAAGUUAUUACUUGAUUUAGCACGUGAUAAAAAUAUCAACUUUCUUUUUGCGAAAUAAUUCAAUAAUAUAUUUUUGAGAUUAUGCUCAAGAAAAUCCUUUGAUCUCGAAAGAUAUUAUUUCAUAUUUAUGGAUACUCUUGCUAUAUUCAUAAAAGAUAUAUUAUAUCUAGCAAGUUUGAUCCGCAAAUCAAAGCAAGAUAUUACGUGAUUUUUUUUUUUUUUUGCAAGGAUUAUUAUCUAUUAUACAAGAUUUUGGAGGUGGCAAUAUAAUCUUUCAUAUGGAUUUUGGAAAGCUCGAUCUGAAAAUUAUGAAUAUUCCAUACUAUCUUUUGGAAGAUCGAAAAUUCCCUUCCUUGUGCAAAAUUUUUGCUUAUUGAGGAAAUCCCUUAUGUGUCGUACGAAAGGUUGAGUAAUUCUGAAUUUUAAUUUUACAUAUGAUACUCAAUUUAUUUAUUUGAAGAAAGGGUAUUAUAUAUUACGUGGAUAUUAUUACAGCUUAUUUGUGGAAAAGUUUGUUAAGUUUAUACAGGUUGAAUUCGAGAUGAGCUUGGUUAAAGAAAAUAAAUUUUUGCCUCAAAUUUCAAAAUGCAAGUGAUUGUUGUAGAUGUUGAUGCUACAAAGGAAAUACCUGGAAAAAAAAAUUCUGUUCAACAANNNNNNNNNNNNNNNNNNNNNNNNNNNNNNNNNNNNNNNNNNNNNNNNNNNNNNNNNNNNNNNNNNNNNNNNNNNNNNNNNNNNNNNNNNNNNNNNNNNNNNNNNNNNNNNNNNNNNNNNNNNNNNNNNNNNNNNNNNNNNNNNNNNNNNNNNNNNNNNNNNNNNNNNNNNNNNNNNNNNNNNNNNNNNNNNNNNNNNNNNNNNNNNUCCGGUUAGUGCAUCUUUUAUUACUUUUUGUCAUUAAUAAAUCUUGUAUUGAUAUUAUCAUUUUAUUAUGAAAAAAAUGGUACGUGCAUUUUAUAAUGCAUCAGUGAUUUUUAUUGGAUAUUUGCUAAUAUAUAUGAUCGAAGUUAGCUAUAUUGCAUAUCUUUAAUAUUCAAUUUACUUUAUAAAAGCUAAUUUUUGGAAAUUGUGAUUCAUGCAAGAUAUUUGUUAUCAUUCUCUACGUGAUACUUUUUCCAUUAUUAUCGUUUUUUGAUUAUGACAAAAAGGGGGAGAAGAUAUGAAUAUGCAUAUGUGUUGAUUGGUUGAUAUUAUCUAUGGCAUAAUAUUGAGCUGCGAUUAUUUUUCUAUAUAUUGUUAUGCUCAAUUUAUUUGCUAUCUUAUGAUAUCAUUUGAUUUAAAUUAAUAUUUUUAAAAGCAUGUUUACAAAUCUGCAUAUUCAGAGAUUGUUUUGUCAUCAUCAAAAAUGGGGAAAUUGUUAGGGAAAUCUCUUAUGAUGUUUUGAAGAUGACAAAAUAAAUCAAAGGCUACUAACAUGUUUGAUGGUUGAGUAAUAGACUAUGCAGAUGUUAGAACAUGUAAAGAAUAUUGUCAAAGUCUAUACUUGGAAGAACCAGAAGAUAGACUCUAUGUUGAAGCUGAACUGGGUACAGACCUUAAAGCUAAAUCUGUUCAGAAGCAGAAUAUGUUCAGACUCAGAUUGCAAAAUCUAUCGCACUUAGACUCAGAUUGUAUAGUCUAUUGCUCUCAGACUUUAAAUCCAGAACGAGACAGAUCGUAACUCAAGCCCCGAAGAUACAACGGCUAGUGAUCUGGUUUGGAUUCCAUAUCAAGAUUGAUUUGAUUGACUCAAUCUAUUUGAUUGACUCAAUCUAUUUGAUUGACGAUUGGAUUUUGAAGACAAGAACUUUCUAUACGAAUAAGCUUUACUUAUGGAAACCAAGAUUUCGUUUGUAUGGCCGAUCGGAAUCAAUUUUGGAUUCUACCUUUGUCACUCAACGACUACCAAAUCUUCUUGAUACAGAGCUGUCCAAUGGGUAUAUUGGAAGACGAUCCUCAAGAUACUGUCCAACGGCUAGUUUGGAAGUGGAGGAGUAUUUAAGGAGAUGAAGGACCGAUGAGCAAGUAAGAGAUAGAGCGUAGAAUUUAUAAUUCCAAAGUCUGAGUGACCUUCGAUCAUACACUUGUCUUUGGAGAGCUUAAACGUUUGUGAUCGUGAGAGAAAUACCAAAAGAGUGACUUAGUGAGAUAAUGUGAUCUACUAAGUGUUUGCACUCAAAGUUGUAAUAUCUUGUUGAUUGCAUAGUGGAAUCCAGCCAAGAAGGCUGUUAGCAUGGGAGAGUGGACGUAGGCUUGGAUUAAGUCGAACCACUAUAAAUCUUGUGUUCUUAUUCUUUUCCUUAACUCCUUCAUUUUACUCGAAAUUUAUUUUAUUCCGCAUAUAUUUGCCAAGGUUUAUUUUAUACACCUAUUCACCCUCCUUUAGGUGUUUAUACUAGCACUCUCAGCUGCCCUCGUCCGUUUCCUCUCAAUGCGUGUCUCUCUUGGCCCAAGCGAAGCUGCUCCUCCAUCAAGUGUCUUCUGCCAGGCGUCCUCUUCAGUCAACAACCGAAAGCACUGAAGCCUCUUUGUUGACCAAUCAACACAUGUGAAUCUCUCUACCAGCUCAACGCCAGCAAGACCGAAGUCCAUCGUCUUCAUCCAAGUCUCCACGCGUCCCCUGCUGGUCAAACGAAGCUGCCCCUUCUUGCCGGUUGUUGACCAUCAUCUCUGCCACCGCUUCACGUUUCGCUGCCCUCUCUCACGCCUCAACGUGACCGAAGCCAGCUGCCUUCGUUCGCGAGGUCUUCCACGAAGCAAAUCCGUGGGCCGCGUCUUCCCCAGAUCAGCCAUCGAAGCUGCUUCUGUCUUCGGUCCAGCAGCCCAGCAGUUGGGCCAUUAAAGCCCACGGUUUGGGCCUUCUUCUUCUUCAGCCCGUGAAGCCAGCAAAGUUCAAAUCCAACAGCCCACUUGGCAAGCCCAAUUCCAGCAAUUAAAUUUCAAGCCCAGCGAAGCCAUCACCUUUGGCCCAAUUGCAAUCAGGCCCAGUGAAUUCAGCUCCGAAGCCCAGCAAAAUUAGAGGCCCGCGAGGACAGCCCAUUCAAGGCCCAUUCUGUCAAGUGAAGUCCAGUCUAGUACAAGAAAAAUCUUAGUUGGGCUGAGAUUUGUUGGGCCAAGGUCAAGGCCCGGUCCAAGCCCGCCGGUGUCGUCGAAAGUCCGAUUUCGGCCGUCGUCGCGUCGCUGUCGCGGUAUCCCGGUCUCCGCUUUUAAUCAAGUGAGUAAUCUCACUAAUCCUUGUUUGUAGACUAUUUAUGCUUAAGGGUUGGUUAGAUUUAAUUAAGUGCAAUUAGGUGGUUAGAUUAGUUUAGAACAAUUAAAUUAGUGACUUAAUGAUGCAUGUUAGGUGGUUAGACAUAGUCAUUAGCAAGUAGAGAGCUGCUAAUAUUUAUUGAAUGCAUCUCAGGAUUUGUCUGGACCCUUAUCGGGCUUCAAUUAGGCAUUACGGGCAUAAAUUGGAUUUUUAGUAUUUAUUUAUUAAUUUUCGAAAUUUAUUAUUUAAUUAUUUAUUUUUCGGAAAUUAGGCUAGGAUAGUCGACGAUCGAAAUUUCAUGCUGAUUGUCGUGGUGCAGUCCGUUUAUUUAUUUGAGCUCUACGUUGUGCUAAAUUGAAUUAAUUGUGCAAUUUGAGGAAUUAUUCCUUAAUUGACUGAAAUUGAGUGAAAUUGAAUGAUUGAUUGGUGGAUGAUCGAGUGUAGUUAGUUAGCAUUGACAAUGCUUUGAUGAGUUGUAAAGUAGAGAAAAUCAUGAGGCUGAACUGAGAAUAAUUUUGGCUGAGAUCGAUCAGGUACGAGGUAUAGACAUACGUGGUUCAGUGAUAAGGAAAUCACUGGUAAAAACAGCGCCUUAAAGAACGCACGAGUGCUGUCUAUUACCUGCAUCAGUAUAGACAUACGUGGUUCGGUGAUAAGGAAAUCACUGGUGAAAACGACGUCUUAAAGAAUGCACGACUGCUGUCUACUGCAUGCCUCAUUACGGACAUACGUGGUUCGGUGAUUAAGAAUAUCACUGGUGAAAACGACGCCUUAAAGAACGCACGAGUGCUGUCCAGUACAUAUGUCACCUUGGCGAAAACGACGCUCGAGAGCAUUACUGUAGCUCUGUGACUGAGAAUGCAAAUGGAAGGUUUUAUAAUGAGAAGUGAUUUGACCUGAAAAUAGUCCGACUGACAUGUAAUCGACUAGGUCAAUUGAUCAAUGAUUUGAUCCGUUGUUGUGAAUUGACUGAUUGAGUGGAAGUGACAUGGAAAUGGUCCGAUUGACAUGUAAUCAACUAGGUCGAUUGAUCAAGAUAUCGAUCUGUGAAUGUUUAGGUGCCUAUUGAACUGUACUAAUAUGCAGGUGGAAUAUGAGACCAAGGUAAGUCCUCUGACCCGUGCGUGUAUAGGCAGCCCAGUUAGCGUAUUGGUUUCCUAAUCGAGUCUUAGUGGGAUAGAACUUGCUGAGACGUAGUCUCAUUCUGGUUGUGGGACAACAUUUCAUGACCUUGAUGAGGAGCUUGAGGAGAAAGAAACCGAAGAGGAGUACCUGGAGGAGAACCUCGAUGAUGAUUCGAGUACGACCUGGGUGAGGACUAUGAUCCCAUCCUCUUUGUGAAUCCUGUCUAAAUGUGAAUAGUGUGAGACUAGAAAGUUAUGAAUAGUUUUGUAAAGUACUUUGAGGUGUGGUUGUAUAAAGGUUUGGUUGUGGAUUUCAAUAUGAAAAAUAUGGCUUUACUUUUCUAUCCCAUUGUUUUAUUAUCUGGGGAUUUAUAACUGCUUCCGCAUGUGCUUAAUAAACGAAAGGGUCAGCGAUACUUAAUCCUGGGAUAUCGCAUUAUAAAAUUGACUAAGUAGAAGGAUGUGUGCCCGCCCGAGGAUCAAGGCGUGACAUGCGGACCCCUGGAGUGCCUUAACUUUGCACAAAUGGACACUUAAGUGCCAUAACUUAUGAAAGGUACACUCAAGUGCCAAAAUCGGAGUAAAAUGGAUCACUUGAGUGUCAAUCCGGCCAAAGUUCGGCUAAAACGUUGACGUGGCAUUUUUCCGGCAAACCGAGCCCAAAACGACGCCGUUUUACAUGUUGACAUGUUCAAAUAAUGCAAAAACGUGGUCGUUUUGGGCUGACGUGGUAAAAAAAAUAAUAAAAAAAAUUAAUUUAAUUAAAUUAAAAAUUAAAUUUAGUUAAAAUAUUAAAAAAUAAUAAUUAAAAAAUUAAAAAAUUAAAAUUUUUUUUUAAAGGAAAGGGGGGGAGGCGGCUGAGGGAUCAACCCUUAGCCACUGCCGCCGUUGCCCCGCCACCGUCGAGAAGGGUUGGCGACGGCAGGGGGAGGGUCGACUGGGGUCACCGGGCCUUGGCCAGGGGCCGGCGACGUCGGCCGACCGGUGAAGAGGGCUUGCGAGCCCUAGCCCAGAUCCGGCGAGGGUCGGCGGCCCUCACUCGAUUGGGCCAAGGGCCGCCGCUCACCGGGGGUCGCCCUAGGGGGCGGCGGCCCUUGGCUUGGUAGGGCAAGGGCCGCUGACCCUCCUUAGAUCUGGGCGAGGGCCGCGAGCCCUCGCCACUGGCCAUAGAUUUGGGGAGGGCCGCCAACCCUCGCCGGACUUGGGCGAGGGGUUGCAACCCUCGCCCCAGAUCGGGGCGAGGGCUCACGAGCCUUUGUCGCCGGUCGGCCGGGGUCGCCGGCCCCUGGCCAGGGCGCAGCGACUCCGGCCGACCCUCCCCCCGCCAUCGCCGGCCCUUCCCAACGGCGGCGGCGGCGACGGCUGAGGGUUGAUCCCUCAGCCGCCUCCCCCCCUUUCCUUUUUUUUUAAAUUAUUAUUUUUAAUAUUUUAACUAAAUUUAAUUUUAAAAUUAUUAAUUUUAAAUAUUUUAACUAAAUUUAAUUUUAAAAUUAUUAUUUUUAAAUAUUUUAACUAAAUUUAAUUUUUAAUUUAGUUUAAUUAUUAUUUUAAUUAUUUUUUUACUACGUUAGCCCAAAAUGACGCCGUUUUUGCAUUAUUUGGCCACGUCAGUGUGCAAAACAGCGUCGUUUUGGGUGAGCUUUGUCGAAAAAAUGCCACGUCGGCAUUUUGGUCGGACUUUGACCGGAGUGUGACUCAAGUGAUCUGUUUUUCUUCGAAUGUAGCAUUUAAGUGUACCUUUCGUAAGUUAUGGCACUUAAGUGUGCAUUUGUGCAAAAUUAUGGCACUUGAAGCGUUCUUUUGCCGGCUACCAUGUGUCUUGAAAAGCCAGAUUUUUUAGAAGCCUCUCCUAAGAAGAAAAUUCGAAUACCAGACACCAACAGUUCACAUUAUUUUAGUUAGACCAUGUAAAGUAUUGAUUUUUUUAAUAUCUCUGGCCCUAAGUUCAAGAAUACUUUUGAAAUAAAGAAUGCAAAGUACAAUUUUUUAAGCAAGAGGAUGGAAAGUGUAAUUAUAGGGAACUUAAAACACAAAAUUUUUAUCAUUUACCCCUAACAUAUUUUACCAUAGCUCUCACCACUCUAAGAAACCGUAAGAUUAUUUGCUGACGUGAAUGAUAUUUUUCUCUUGACAACAAGAAAACUACCUUCUCUUGGUAAAAUCUAAAUUUUAUGAAGUACUCUACUGUUCUUAUGAGUUAGGUAAAAUUUUGAUUAAAAGAAACUUGGUUGAAUUACCUAAUUAAUCAUAGAAUUAUUUGCAUUACAUGGACGUACAAAAUUUCCUAUAUAGCUAUUAUUUAAUCCAUUAAGUUAAUCUGGCAGCUUAAUCAAUUUUGUCUUUUUUUCUUUCCCCCUGGGACUAGGCUUUUAGAAAAAGAAGGCAGUCUUUCCCGUGAUCUUAAGCAUCGAGGCGGUGAACACUGGGAAACUUCUAUAUGAAUUCAGACAUAAAGCAACUGCUAUCCUUUGUUGACUUUUCCAAUACAUAUGUACCCAAAUAAUCAUCAUAUCGCUCUUGUCAAGCAGACUUGUUCAUAAGGCCCCUAUUUAUUCAGGAUGGAUUUGGUUGAAAGAAAAUGGGAGUCAACCCAAGUUGGCUACAUGGACCGGCGUUCGAUUAGGAUGAAGGCAGAUCCCGUCCUCGAAUUCAGUGGACAUAAUUUAUCUGAUAAAUAAAUAGCAAAGGCAAGUUUUGAAAAUGUUUGAAAGUUGUAUCACAUUGAAAAAGUGUAGCUCGGAACUUCAAGAUGGAUAGAGCAAGUUCAUGUCAUGUUAAUGGUAGUUAGGUGCUUUAAAUCCACUUAUUUGUUUUACUCUGGAAAUUCCAUUUGAACGCAUCCACUAAGUUGUGGAAUGUGCCUGUCAAUUUUCCUUUAUAUAUCUAAUUCCGAUAUGUAAAAAUUACUUCUGCAGCAUUCACCAGGAUAGGAAGGAACUUGGUAUUUAACUUUUAGUCUAAAUUUGCCGAUACAAAGUACUUAUUCCCACACAUGCAAUCUGUUGUAAUUAUGGUUAUAAUUAUGUUUAAUGGAUCAACGGAAGCCAAUAAAUUAAGAUACGUUUUUUCUGUUCACGUAUCUCUUUUUGGAUUCAUGAAUUUCCUAUACUUUUAUGUUCACGUAUCUAUUGAAUUCAUGAAUUUCCUAGAUUCAUGUAUCGUUUAGUUCAUGUAUUUAUUGAGUUCAUGAAUCUCUUGAAUUCACGUAUCUUUGGAUACAUGAAUCUCUUGGAUUCACGUAUCUCUUUAUUCAUGAAUCUCGUGGAUACACGCGUCUAUUUAAUUCAUGUAUCUCUUUAGUACAUGAACUAAAAAUCUCUAUAUAUAGAUAGGAACAUAGAGCUUCAUGGGGGGUUUUGGUUUUGGUUUUUGGUUUUCCCGAUUCAAUUCCAAAAAAGAGCUUUGAUGUCCUCUUCUACUCUUCUGAUUUUUCUGAGUGUGCUGGUUCAAUUGAACGGUUCGACUGAGUCCUGUUUGCAUAGUGCUAAUCCUAACAGGUUCGAGGUGUUGUAUCUUGGGAGGCAUAGUUCGUGAAUCUGCGGAGCACCUUUGGCAGGAACUAAUCGCCUUAAGGAGAUUCGGUUAUCCGUACCUCACCUCCAAUUUUAUGUUAUUUUUCAAUGAUAUCUUAUUUUAUUAUUCUCCAAGAGUUGUAAGUUUACAUAAAAAGAAGAAUAUUAUAUAGCUGUUAUCAUCUUCUUUACAUUGAUGUUCUGACUACAACAAACAGUUUGUGUCUUCUCUGGAUUAAUUUCCAACACAAUCUGCUCAUUUCUGAGCAUACUGCGACGCACAUAAGAAUCUAUGGGGGAAACAGAUUUAUUGUGCCUCAAGCCUUGUAUUUCAACAUUUUACUUACCAUCCAAGAUUAAGGGAUGGUUUAGUCAGUUUGAGUACUGACACAAAUGAAAUUGGAUACCAUUGUUCAUUUUGAUAACUAUUCAUAUUAUGCUUCAUGGAAUCAAAGAUGUGUAACCCUGGACUUUGGGGUUGCUGGUUGGCAAUUUAAAGGGUAAGUGGAUUUGUUUCUGCUACUUCUUUUGGCUAGCUAUUUAAAGGGCGGGUAAUGAUCAUGGGGUACAAUCAGAAUCUAGAAAGAAUCUAUUCUGAAGGAUUAGCAUUCUACUUGUUUUGUUAAAUUUCCAACAAAUUGUCUGCAUUCUACUUGUUCACUUCUUAGCAUUGGAUUAAAGUACAUGUCAAUGGUUUAAAAUUUCUUUCUGUUAUGUUGCUUGUUAUCAUUUCCCUGGUUAUCUCAUUGAUGUGAUUACAUCCAUAUUCUGUGGUGCGUGUGGAAGGGAUCAGUUCUAUGCAAAGGGAGUGUUGAGUUAUACAUUAUACAUUCAUUGCUUGGCAAGUUUCCUAAUAGUUUAAGCUUUUGAAAAAUGUAUUUUUCUAACACGCAGCAAUCAAAUCAAUCAGCAUAAUCAAUCAGCCAACCCUAUGUUCUUGUUUGGUUCUUUCUUCUUGUAAUUGUGGGUUGUUUGGAAGACUUUAAGAUAAGGACUAUAAGAACACGUUUGGUAACGCUUCCGUUCCUAGAAACAAUUUCUGAUCAGAAAUGAUUCUUUUUUAUUCUGUUCCCAGGAACAAUUUCUAAGUAUUUUAAGUUGUUUGGUAACUGUCCAAAAUUUUAAUUUCCGAAAUAGAAUUGCGUUUGGUACUGUGCUCCAAAUUUCUACUCCAAAUCAUUUUCUUUUAAUUUUUAAAUAAUUUUAUUACUUUUUCCUUUUUUUUCUUCUUUUCUUUUUUUUCCUUUCUUUCUCCUAUUCUUCUUCUUCAAGUCGCCGAUCGCCGGCCUUGAGAUGAACGGCGACCGACUAGACGAGGGCUGGCAACCUCACCAGAGCGUCACCGGCCCUCGUCGGCCGAGCCUCUCCUGUAGCUGGGCAAGACUUGGCCAAGCCAUGGUGAGGUUGAGCCCCACCGGCGGUGGGGCAAGCUCGCGCCUUGCCAAAUCUAGGUGGAGCCGCUGCCCAACCAUGGCUUAGUCGAGCCUCAUCGGGGUUGGGCAAGCCUCACCCGAUUAGGCGAGCCUCGUUGGUGGCUAGGCUUGCCUCCGACGAGCUCACCAGACCGAUUGCUGGCGACCGGUAGCAGUGGGCGGCAGACGGCAACCGCAACGGUGGCAAUAGAUGAAGAAGAGAGAAGAAGAACAAGAAAAAAAAAAAAGGUGCUUGAUUCUAUAAUUGUUCCCGAGAACAAGAAUCAAAUUUUUUUUUUUAUUCUUGAUUAUGUUCCAAAUUUACUUCCGAAAACAAAAUAAUAAAAAUUUAUUCCCGAGAACAAAAAUUUUACUAAACGCAUUUAUGUUCCAAAUCUACUUUGAGAACAAAAGAACAUAAACAAGCUUUGGCAAAUUGCCAAAUAGGCCCUAAGCCUCUCAUAAAAUCAUCAAAUUACAACAAUAUUUAAAGCUUGGAUAGUUAAAAGCUGCUCAGAUGCUAGCAAACUUUAGCUUAUUAAAUUUGUUAUCCGUAGUCUGGUUUACUAUUAGUGUCAACUUUUUUUUUUGCCCAAGAGUUUUUCAAAUGGUUGAGCGAAAGUGUAGAGCUUUCCUUUGGAAGGGAGAUCCUGAUUACGAAGAGGGAGCAAAAGUUAGAUGGGACACCGUCUUUCCUCCCAAGCAGUUUGGAGCCCCUGGCAUUCAACGACUGGAUCUAUGAAAUCUUGCUUGUACUUUUAAAGUGUCUGUGGAGUAUUUUGUUGAGGUUGGUCUCUAUGUUUUGCCUGACUCUAUUACUAUCAUCUUGAUAUAAACCAGAUGCUACUUAUGCUUGAACGAAGUUUUUAAAGUCGAGAAUUUUUUGAAAUCCUGCAUUCGAUAAAUAUUGGGUAAUGGAGGUGAUAUUUCUCUUGGUAUAAUUUGUGACACCAUGCUGGGAUCUCGCUGGAAUCAUUUCUCAAGGAGAAUAACUUACGAACCUUCUCUUCCUCUGCAGGCCAAAGUAUCUGCUAUAAUUCGUAACUCUCAUUGGAAGUGGCUCGCUGCUAGGUCCAGAGAGUUGGUUUCCACCCAGGCUUCUGUUUGUGGCGUGAAUUUUCCUAAUUCCUCAGCUGCAGAGAAUGUUGUAUGCAUAGCUUCCUCAACUGAUUGCCUUAACUCUUUUACUGCUCGGGAAAUUGUCAGAAACAAGAAUGCUGAUGUUGACUGCCACAGACUUGUGUGGUUCCCCCCUAAUUUGCCAAGAUUGGGCUUUAAUUCUUUGUUAGUAAUACAUGAUAAACUCCCUACUUUUGAGAGGAUUAACCAUUGGUCUGUUGGGAGAACAAGAUCUCUCUACUUGUUCGGUAAUCUAAGCAUUAAAUCUCGCUCUCAUCUAAUUUUCGAGUGUAGUUUCUCUAAUGAAGUACAAAGGAAGGUCUUAAUUCUAUCAAACUAAUCAUUGAAUCUCGCUGUCAUCUAAUUCUCGAUGUUUAAUGUAGUCAACAUUAUCGAGUUCUCUGUGAAGCAUAGUUUUGAGUACUGCCUUUGUCUUAAAAUAAGAAUGGCACUGAUAAGCACUGUAAGUUGUGUUUUGCUUGGAAUCUAAGUUUGUGAAAACUAUCCAGCUAGAGUAAGGUUUGUUUGAGAUUGUGCUUGUUAUCGUUUUUUGGUGUGUAAUGAUGCAUGUUUUGCUCUGAAAACUAUCCGGUAAUGGUAGACAUAUGUCAAUUUCAACCCUCUUCUUUUCGGGUCCAAUUUUUAUGAGGUCUAGUUACUGACCUUUGCAUUUCUCCAAAUAGUUAUUGGACGAAGAAGCACGAUUCAUGAAAAGCAGUUGUUAUAAGAUUAAAAAGAUAGUUAUUUAUUGACCGAGAUUCAAAUAGAGCCUUUACAACUUCUUCUUCUUCUUUUUUUUUAUUCAUGGUAAUUUGACUCGGUUACGUCCGUAGGAAAUUCAACCUCUAAAUUCGGACUUUCUCUCGUGGUUAUUUGCCAUAAUAUCAUCAUCAUUUGAAAAAAGAAAUUAUUUGGAAUGGUCGAUUUGUGCUUCGGGCUUACUUUUAAAAGCAAGUUUGCUAAUGAAGGCCUCUUCCAAGAAGCAGCCCUAGCCUUUGAUAAGAAUAUCCAACUUAUGAAGUCUUUUCUCCUUUGCCUAUAUCUCUAGAACCAUUGAUGGUCAUUGUCGUUGAGGGAGUCUUAUAAGCAAUCGAUAGACUUCUGUAAACUUAUUUACCAUUACAUCAGUCAAGCAGAGUAAUUUACGUUAAUCAACUACAGCUACCCAACUUCAUCGGAAUCUUCCAUUCUUAUGAUUAUUCAAAACAUAUUGCGAUUGUCGUUAAUUGAUGGAAUUGACGUAAGAAGUUCUCACCUUGCCUUGAGCGAUUUUUCACUUUCGAUAAUUAUAAAGUCCCUGAUAUGGAUGGGCGAUGUCUCUAGUUUCGAAAUAAGAUGGAGCAUAGUGAUUUAACCGCUCAUGCUUCAAGCAAUUGAUUUUCUACUGCAUCAUUGUACUUCUACAAUAUGUUAUUCGCUCCAGUUUCGAUGAAGACACCGAGCAGAUAUUCAGAAUUCAGAGCUAGAUUUCUUUUUGCGUUUGCAGGUUUUUGCUUUCAAGGAAUGUACAGGUAUAUUAGCAUCUCUGAAUGAAAGCUGAUCGGUAUUAAAGCGGGUGACUUCUGGUGAGGCGAAUGUUAUUUACGUUCUGGCUUUGUCUUUGGCACUUGUUCAUGAAAAUCCGAACUUUUUAGCUGCUCAAUUUCAGCUACGUGAAGGAAGGACUAGUUUUUAGGGCAGCUCUUGGGAAAUAGAUUUACAGCCACAGUGGCGUAGGAAUGAUGUCGCCUUUGUAUGUGGUUGCAUUGAACCUUUCACAGUAUAAAAUUGGAACCUAAAAAUUAAAACAUAUACUGAGAUAAUUCCCUAAAUGCAACCUUAAAUUAAACAGGAUUAAAACUAUUCCUAAGAUGCACCUAAAUGCAAUUUCUGUUCGUUAUAUUUUGCAUUUUCCUUUUUUGCUUUCGAUUUCUUUUUUAAUUUUUUUAGAAUUUUAAUGACCAACUCGCGGCCAAUAGAACGAGGGGUGAUAUUUUUACAAUCUCAAAGCAUGAAUGGCAAGUUGAGAAGAUGUCAAUGUGAUGCAGUGAAGAUUUAGCUCAAAAUAUUCACUUCUUUACCUCGCAGAAAGCAACUUUCAUCUAUGCAUACUAUUGUGCAAUAUGAGAAAAAGUUGACAGCAACACUCGCAGGAGACCCAACAAGAAGCGCCAGAAGCUACUUCAACAGAACGAAGACCCCACCAAUCACAAAUGCAAGUAUUUCAUCCAAAUUAGAUAAAAACAAAUCCUCAUUCACUGCACAAAUACAUACGGACAGCAAGCUCGUAGGACAUCUUAAGCCCGUUUCGAGCAUAAGAAUGUGAUAAUCCAACAUGAAAUCGAUACAAGUCCAAAGCGCCGGUUUCUUACGUGGAUAUACAUGCUGAGGAGGUCCAAGUAACGCAUAAGCAACACCAAACAACAACCAACUUUACUUGACUCAAAUCUGGGUAAUAUGGAAUCCUAUCAUUUUUUUAUGUGUUUCAAGCCUUGAAACGCUACAAUUUGAUGGAAAGCAAAUGUAACAUCAACGCAGCAUCUCUCUAUAUGUUCACAUGACUAGAACACUAUCCAAAUGAGAUCGAAAUCCGCACAUUCCACGUAUGAACAAAAGCGACCAGCAAACACCCGUGUUAUGUUCAAGGCUUGAAAUGAUUAAAAUUCGAUGACAUAUCAAAAUCCAGAAAGCUUACGAUUUGGAGUCGGGCAUUCUGUCGAACAGGUUGUGGACGAGUGGCAUGAAGCACUCGGUAAACAGAAAAGCUUCCAAUUUUGGAGAAACCGUGUGACGUAGGAUCCUCAGCUAGACAAUGGCAGAGACAAAACCUGAGCCCCAACGACAGGCGACGAUCGAAACAACAAUUUGAAGCUCUCGGCAAAAGGCGAUGCAGAACAACCACAUGAUCGAGUCUCAGUGAAUAUCGACCGUACACUACGUUACGAAGGUAUAUCCUCAAGUUAUUGAAACAUGGGUGGAUGCGCUAGAGCUGCAAAACAUCACCAUCGGGACACGUAUUAAAACUCCGAGAUGGGCCUUGAAAGGUGUCGAUAAAUAUAUUUAUUAAAACUAAAAUCUUGGGCAUUGUCCGAUUGAUAUGCUUCGAAGAGGCUUGAUUUGAGGCCAGCACUUCUUUUUUCUCGGGGACACGUAUCAAAACUCCAUCCACGUUGAUGGAGAAUAUCUCGGGAUUGACCCGGUUGCAGACUCCAAUGGUUUAUGCCUAUGAAGAGCCAGUGAAAAGAGAUGGAGUAAGGAGGAGGACAAUGAACAAGCUAAAGAUUGGACUCCCGAAAAUAUUUUAUGUUAAAAGUUAUGUUAAUCAGAAUAUCAUGCAAAAAUAUUUCUUGUUCUAAAAUAUCUACUUACGCAAAAUGAGAAAUAAGUCUAGCAUACCGGAAAAUGUAAAAAAAAUUCUCAAGCAAUUACUGAAGCAAAGGCAGGCCUACGCACGAACGUCCGAUUAGAUGGCUAUACAUAAAGAUCAUUAAAAAUGUUUUAACAUGAAAUUGAUGGUUAUAGGUGUAAUACAAGGGUGCUUUAGGAAAUAUGAUGCAAGAUAAAUGCCACUUUUCACUCGUCAAUUACCUGAAAUUGGGGGUCGUCUAUUAUAGAUGUAAUGCGAGGAUCACUUAGGAAUUGGGAAAUCUCACUUUUGGCUCGAAUGUAAGGAUUCUUUUUCUUUUUCUUUUUCGGUCAGCAUUACGCAAAAUGAAAGGGUCUGCUCUACUCGGACGCCUUCAUUUUCGUACUUAACUUAGGCUUUUGAUUUUCGUCUUUACUUGAGCCCACGUUACUGAGCUUAUAGGCAAAUAGGCGUUGUUAGACGCUCGAAGCAUAUCGUUGAACAAUGUUUUCUAAGUAACUUCACAGAUGUUUUUAUGGUUAUUCUUGACUAUCAUUACAAAUAAAAUCAUUGCAUUUUCUGAUUUCCUCUCGAAACAAGUAAUAAACUCAUUCAAUAAAGCGACAUCAUAUGGUUGUGCAAGAGGGACCCUAUAUAUCUAGCUGGGGUUUUCUACCUUAUGUGUUUCGCUUCAGUUGCUAAGGGGACUUGCUCCUCAGGUAUGUACACAGUAUGCUAGGACCUGCAUCAAAAAGACAUGUUGAGGUUUUCUUUGGUUCAGAACUAUAAGUUUUGCUCUGUUUUCAUCAUAAGGCAGGAUCAGGCCAAGUUAUGGUGUGGGGACAUAGUACAUCGCCAAGAACAUGAUGAUGAGAAUGGGGCAGGGGAAGUCGUUUCAGCAUGUGGAAAUCAUGACUCCUCUGAUGCCUAUGAUCGCUUUCCUUUGGAUGAAACAUCUUAAAUGGAUUUUCCGGUGGAGGGUCAUCCUCUUGUUAAUGUCAGAGCCAAGUCAUUUCCCGUUCAUGACUGUCCGCCAAUACGCAGCCGUUCUAAUGUCCCGUAAAGCAAGGAACCUUACUAGGGACGAAAAUCGGCAAAUAUUUUAUGCGAUGCUUCUGUGCAUAUAAUUUUCAUUUAAAUAAUCGAAUGGAGUGGCAUAAAAGGUUCAGUUUUGGUCACUGUUGCUGCCACUGCUAACAUGAUGCUGAAAUAUGCAGCCGCAAGCAAGAUAUAUAAGAUUUAAAAUAAUGGCUCUUGAAUCUUUUACAGGAUUUGACUUCAGAGGAAAUUGCUUUGGGUAGAUAUUCGGUCCGACAAUAUUGUCCUUCCAUGCCUGUGUAAGGGAAGACUUGCAUAGUUCAACUUGCAUUGUGAGUUCUGAGGAGUGUAAGAAGCAGAAUACUCUCAACUUCUGUUACAUCCAACGUUGUCUAUCCUUUUCCGUGCAGUUCAAGAGAACUAUACCCAAAAAUAUGUGUUAGACAUUUAUCAUGGUUUGGCAAGGUGGCCAGGUGCUUCUUAGGAAGACAAUGAGCAUAUCAUUCAAUGCAUUUUGUUUGAAUCCAAUUAUUUGUGGCACUUAAGUGUGAAAAUUCAAAAUUCAAGGGACCCAAGGACUUGCGGCUUACACCCUCCCCCCAAUAACGACUUGAUAAAAGCUGCAUACAUUGCAAUCCCUAGCCUGGAAGAAGAUAGUGAAGUUCCCAUGUGAACCCUCAGACCUCAAGUUUAUGUUGUCGGAAGUGUAUUUGGCUAAUGAUAGAACACUCCAUGUAUGUGAAGCCAAGUUCCUGCUGCUCCGCUGGACUUUCAGAAACACGUUUAGGAUGGUUGUGUGAUUUAUAGCCAGAUACGAGGAUGGCCGUUUUAGCUCGAGUGGACUUGGGAGACCUAAAGUUAAGGCGAAAAUGAAACUGCAUAGCGAUUGCUGACAUUUAUUUUUCCACAAGAGUAAAUUGUUGAUGAUAGUGAGGAAAAAGAGGCUUCUAAAGAGAACUUGGCUAGGGACAAUAAGGGUAAAGUUUCUUCUAUAUUUCUGGAUACUCUUAACAUUUGUUUGUCCUGUUUCUGAGCCUCACUCCAGCAAAUGUCUCUCGCGGGACUCCAUCAGCUUGACACAGAGCGUGCACACAAUGUCAAGUAAAUUCCUUAUUACUCUUUUAUUGGCUAAACCUCUUAAUACUUCCAUCUCAAGGUCUUCCUCACUACCUACAACAUCCCAUUUAAGGGCAUAUGCUGUUCAUUUGGCUACACACUAGUCCAGUUUAUUAUGGUAUGUCAUAGGGAAUUCUCUAUGACAAGUAUGACAGGAAAUUAUGGGCGGAAUUUUCAGAAACCAAUGGAAUAUAAACGGUGUGUUCUGCCCCCAUCUUUCUCAAAUAUCUUGUUAGAGGCAUAUAAAAGUUCUGAGAUUGUUUGCUCUCAACAACAUUGUUUUCUGCUGCUGCAGGAAGAAGCUAAGAUGCAGAGAUUAUAGUGUACCACUGGCUAAGACUGAUUUAGACAAAAUUACCCAAUUCAAGCCUCUCGGGGGAGUUGAUGGCGAGGACUUUGUCAAUGGAAAUGAAGACAAGAAUCCAUUUGAUUCUGUGACCUCGUCUUCGUGUGAGAACAGUGGGACGCUUCAGUAAAUGUUGGUGAAGCUAGCAUUCCUGACAGAGAUGAAAUUCAUAUGUCUCUAAAGCUAGGUCCAUCCAUCAACUUCCUAUGCAACAAUGGCCAUGAAAGAGUUGCUGAAGACAUGCCACGAGUUCUCCGUGCUCUUUUGGAUUUACUCAAUGAAGAUUACUAAAGGCGAAAUAAGGUGCAGUCGUUAUUCCAAGAGAUCAUGUAGAGACCCAAAGAAACGAGGAAUGUGUGCAAAGUAAAUAAAGAGAAAUAUUAGGAUAGGAGUACAGUCAUGCAAUAAAGUCACAGUUUGACCUCUAGCAUCUUGAGAAAGCAUUAGUUUCUACAUGGAGUUUGGAAAAGUUGCCUCCAUAUUUUCAUGGGUUUAAAAGUGAGACGAUUUGAUACGAAGAAGCAGGAACAGUAUACACGUACUUAGGCCCGUUCAUCAAAAUCAUUUCCUGAUUUCAGCGUAAAACCUGUCUGAGUUCGACAUAUCCUGAUCCGGAUCGUCUUUCAUGGAAGCUCAGGUGAGGCUACUGGAAUUUUUUAUUCAUAGGCUUUUGCUACGGGGAGGAAAUCUAGGCAGUUUAGGACUGUUGCCAUCCUAAGACGGCAGGCUUACGAGCUGUUCUAGCUUCUAAUGGGCGUCUCCCACUCCCCACAAACAAGCCUAAUUAAUUGACGUGUGGGAUCAAUUGCCUAGAGUGCAUCUGAUUAUCGCUGACAUUUUCUUUAGUGUGUUGAUGGUUGAAUUGUGCAAUGCGAUUGUCGGACAAUCAUACCAGAGGCUUUAAAUUGUUCAUGCUUACAAACUGAAACUUGGGUCAUUAUGCAUUUGCAGGUUGCCUUUCACUAAACAUUAAACCACGAAACAAGCCCGUUAUGAAUUUUACUGUCGCAAAUCCAACCUCAAAACACAAUUCAGAAAAUUCCUCACGUCUCAUGUUGGGAGAUAGCUUUUCACAGCCUGCUUCCCAGCGGCCGCCACCACUACUGCAAUCACCUCCGAUCACCCAGCUGAUCUGGUAUAUAUAGAAGGAAGUGAGCAAGUUGCCGGAAUUUCAACAAUGAGUUCCCACGUGAUGUACGGAUUAGAACCUAAACGAUAGAUGCAAAAGUUUUUAGAUUCUCAUGUUCAGUGGUGCUUAGAGCUUCUCUCCAAUAGGUUAGAGUAUUGGUGUCCUGUUAAAGGUGUAAAUAACAGAAAGGAAGGUAAUAUAGCGGCUCAUAGUUUAGCUAAGUUUGCUUUAAAUGUGGAUCCCUUUUCUUCGAGAGAGUUUUGCUCUAGUUUUCAACUCGCAGUCGAGUGGGCUUGCAUUUGUUCGCGAUCAUAUUAAAGAAAGCCUACAUAACACGAUGCUCCCAAUCUUGGCCCUGCUGCUGCCUUAUAUAGCACACCUGUCACAAACAAACAAUUCUGCUAUCUCAUGAUGCUGCAAAAAUGAGAAAAACAUAGCACUCAAGCACAAAAAGAAUUCCAUAAAAUAUUAGGAUCCUCAACACAAGCGAAAAGAUGAACUUAUAUAAGCCAUGCCAAUUAACAAGUGAUUUGCGUAGUUAAAAUCUCUCUAAAUAAGUAAUGCAUUCCUUAUCUCAAUUGAACGAAUUUUAUCUUCCUAACACCAAUCUACUUAUGAAGGCUAUCUUUUCCAUGAUUAUCUAGAAAGUGGUACACACGUGUGCAGAAUUAACAAUUGGGAAGGAGCAUACCACUUGUCACCAAUGUGGUAAAUUAGGCUUAUACCAACACAGUAAUUUCCAUUUAGGCCAAGUUAAUGUGCUAAUUGGGGUCAUUGUACACUUUAAAGCAUUCCAUCGGGUCAUUCAAUUUGCAAAAAGAGGAUUUUGUAAAAAAAAUACCUUAGGGCGACAUUCUAAUAUAGUGAUUAUAUUCACGACAUGAAUGAUCAAUACUUUCACUUGUUUAGGUAUCGAAUUUCAUUGUGACAUUAAAUAUUUUCCAUAAUUCACCCAUUUAGCCUACUUAUGUUGAUUUCAAAAGCUUUUGGUGAUAUCAUUUUAAAAAUAAGAGGAGAAUCAUCGUAUUGUAAAAGUAUAAGUCAAAAACUUAUUAGCACUAGAUAAAUAUAGAUACUUUGAGAAAAAUGAUAUCGUGAGACAAAAUUGUGGCUAUGCAUAAUAGGUGGAUAUUCAAUAAAUGGAAAUUGUAAUCGUAAGGGUAACUUUAAAAAGUGAAAGUUAGACAAAUUACACUUUCAGCUUAAAUAUAUAGAUGAAAUGAGAGAUUGUGAGAUAAAAUGGUGGUUAUGCCUUUUUUAAAAAUAAAAAAAAAAGUGGGCGUUAUUUAAAUACGGAAAUUGUAUUUGUUGGGGUAAUUUCGUAUGGCAAAAAAUGAAGUAAAUGGCACUUUUAACUUAAAUAUAUGGAUGUCCUAAAAAUAUUCGUCAUGAUUCAUAAGCUCUUUUUAUUUUUAUUUUUUUGGUCAAAACAAGUUCUUUUCAUUGCUUCAAGUGAUUAGGGAAUUACAGCCUAGAUGGGCCUUCGAAUAUAAAAGGUCCCACAAAACUUGAGGGGAUAAGUUGUCCAAUUACAGCCCACGAGCCUCUUUUUAUGCAUGCUUUCUUUUCUAGUAGAGUAGCACGUCUCACUAUCACAAGCAGCUAAAAGCAAACUGCAUUGUUUCAAAUUAUUUUUGUGAUUGUGGGGGUUUAAUAAUUUUUAGAGAGGUUUAUGUAUGAUUACCGGAUACCAUCUAAUUAAGAACUCGAUUAGCAUUUUCCCCAUCGAGAAUUUGAUUAAUUAGACUACCAAUAGUUUUGAACCUAAGUUAAGAACAGAGUGUUAGGUAUAGAAAAUUAAGAACAAAAUGAGAGAUGUAGAUCCCCAUUGUGAAUCACAUUCAAUCUUACCCCAUCUAGUAUAACAAUUUUAAGAAAUGAAAAGGACUUCAAAGAUAUAACCUUUGAUAUUGGAACUUUGAAAGUAUAUGGUGACAUUUUAAUUAUAUUCUAAUUAUCAAGCCACCUUUCCAAAGUCACUAUCUAAACUACCUAACUUCUAUGGCUGUGUGUGGUUAUCUAAAUAAAUUGAUUUUUGAUAAAAUAGCAUUUGAUUGAAGUGAAAAAUCCUAGUGAUUUUCUCAUGUUCAAUUUUGUGUUUGAAUGAUGAUAGAUUUUGCAAUGCCCUAUAUCACGUCAAGAAUGCAAUUAGAAUGUUCAAGUCUAGAGUAUCAAAUCAAUCAGUAGUCAAAAUGUCGAUUUGUCGCACUAUUAUCACUAAUGUUAGCCAGCGCUUUCUAUUUCUAGAGAUGAUUUAGCUAGAUGAUUUUGAGAAUGGCUAACAAGAUUGAUCCAUCAAGUAAUUUAUCAGAUUAUAGAUAUACCUUUAAACAAAUGGGUCAUGUAAAAUAUAUUAAGAAAAGUCUGACAUGCAUGAUAUUCCAAUCUAUACUUUUUUUUUUUUUUUUGAUACCCAGGGAACCCCGUACAGCCGGCAGCCGGCGGGUAAACCCUGGAGCGACGCUAGCGGAGGACCCACCACCCCAACGUCGCGCUUAAAAUCCCGUGCGUCCUGCGGGAUUUGAACCCCUCCAUCUUGGGUAGAUGUCAUGGGGGCUCUUAUCCAGCUAGGCCACCGCAGGCGGUGGUACCAAUCUAUACUUUUUUAUAAGAGAAAAAGUCACUAAAAACAUUAAACUUUAUCUAAUGUAAUAAAUAUACCCAAAACCCUUUUUCAUGACAUAAAAAAAUUCAAAAUUUGCGAGACACAUUUACUCUGAAAUUCUUUUCAUAACACAAAAAAUCUCAAAUUUAUACUCUCGUGACACAUUCAUCCCAAAUUACAGUACAAGAUAUUUUCAUUUUUCACAUUUUAAAUUUUUUUUCUUUUGUUUUUUUUUCUUCUCCUCUCUUUCCUCCGCCAGCCAUGGCAGGGAAGCUAGACAGAUACCCUCACCGGAUGCCGAUGAGGGUGGCCUCGCCUAAGUCUGGCUUCCCUUCGCCAGCCACAGCGGAGGGAGGGAAGAAAGAAAAAGAAAAAAAGGAAAAAAAAUAUAAAAGGAAACCAAAAAAGACAAAAAAGAUAUCAUUAAAUUAAAAUAUGAAAAUAACUUUCAUGAACAAAAUUUGAGAUUUUUUAUGUCAUAAAAAAUAUUUAAAUUAAAUUUAUCACAUUAGACUAAGUAUAAUAUUUUUUAUGGCUCUUUUUCCUUUUUAUAAUUUUGCAAGAUUCAUUGAUCAUUUAAAGAGCUACACAAUAAGACAUCUUUCGUUGGAGAAAGCGGAGGACCGCGUUAUACACAACCGUUGCCUUUCAUAGAUUUUUUUUUUUUUUUUUUUUGCCGGUCCUACUCUAACGCUCGCUUUAAAACUUUUGCCCUACCUCCUUGCAGGGUGUGGGAACUCACUCCUGAAACUAAAUCGUCUCCACUCCAAACCCUCCUGAGAAAGUGUAGAUUCAAACCCUUCACCUCCAUUUUUCAUAUUGGAAAUGUGGCCAUUGGGCAAACCCCAGUGGUUUUUUCCUAGAGUUAGGGCAUAGCAUAGGUAGGGGGUAGAGCAGAGCAUUAGGGCGCGUUUGGUUGUGUUUCUGUUUAAAAAUUGUUCCAGGGAACAGAAAUAGAAAAAAGUGUUUCUGUUCCGGGGAACAAUUUUUGAACAAAAAUACGCGUUUGGUAAACUUGUUCCGGGAAUAAAAAAUAAACAGAAACAUGUUUGGUAAAUUUGGAUAAUUUUUUUAUUUCUUUUAUUUUUUCUAUUUUUUUCUUAUUUUUCCUUUUUUUCUUUUUUCUUUUUCAUUUUUUUUCUUCUUUUGGCCGGCGAGGGCCGAGCUCGCCCAGCGGCGGGCGAGGCGCGGCCUCGCCGGGCCACCGCCAGGCGAGGCCGCGCCUCGCCCGCCGCUGGGCGAGCUCGGCCCUCGCCGGCCAAAAGAAGAAAAAAAAUGAAAAAGAAAAAAGAAAAAAAGGAAAAAUAAGAAAAAAAUAGAAAAAAUAAAAGAAAUAAAAAAAUUAUCCAAAUUUACCAAACAUGUUUCUGUUUAUUUUUUAUUCCCGGAACAAGUUUACCAAACGCGUAUUUUUGUUCAAAAAUUGUUCCCCGGAACAGAAACACNNNNNNNNNNNNNNNNNNNNNNNNNNNNNNNNNNNNNNNNNNNNNNNNNNNNNNNNNNNNNNNNNNNNNNNNNNNNNNNNNNNNNNNNNNNNNNNNNNNNCCGUGGCUGGGCGAGGCCGCCGGCCCUCGUCGGCCGGUCGCCGGCCAUGGCCGAGGCCGGCGACCGGCCAAAAGAAAGAAGAACAAGAAAAUAAGAGAAAAAAGAAAAAGAAAAAAAAAGUGUUUCUCAUUUGUGUUCCAGAAACGAGAAACACAAAAUUUGUGUUUCUCGUUUCUGUUUCUUUUUUGUUCCUGGGAACAAAAGAACAAAAAAACAGAAAAAUUGUUUAAAAACAGAAAAAAAGAAUACAACCAAACAGGCCCUUAAUGGCCAACUUGCAACUACUUUCAUUGAUGAUGUUUGGGAGAUCCAAUCCUUUUCCGAAGAUGCUGGUGAGAUGAAUGAACGGCCACUGCUCCAAUUUCGACCUAAGGCACAAAAAGGUCUAACGCAUUGAGUUGGAGAUUUUAGUUGGGAACUUAUACUGGACAUUGACCAACGGCUAAUGCACAUUACCGUUGCUCCAUGGCUGGUCCUCAAAUCCUCCACCGGCGGUUUUUCUUUUUCUCUCUCGCCGACGGCUCCUCAAGCUCCUUCAGUCGCUUGAGCUGGCCGCACCACUGCGGCGUCCAUUCAACUUUUGACAGCUUGGCCGGAGAUAAACGCUGUAGGGAUGGGAGGGUUGCUUCCAUGUAGUAGUACAUCAGGACACGUGUGGCAACAGUAAACCAUGGUGGUGGAGUCCAGUCCGUUANNNNNNNNNNNNNNNNNNNNNNNNNNNNNNNNNNNNNNNNNNNNNNNNNNNNNNNNNNNNNNNNNNNNNNNNNNNNNNNNNNNNNNNNNNNNNNNNNNNNNNNNNNNNNNNNNNNNNNNNNNNNNNNNNNNNNNNNNNNNNNNNNNNNNNNNNNNNNNNNNNNNNNNNNNNNNNNNNNNNNNNNNNNNNNNNNNNNNNNNNNNNNNNNNNNNNNNCUUGAUAUUAAUACAUUUGUGAUGGAUUUACUCUCUAUUAGUUUUCGUUUGAUUUCACAAGUUAGUAUACCCGUGACAAACAAAGGGAAAAAUCCAUGCCAUCCAACUCAACAAUUUGAAACUAAAAUUUAACGAACACUAAUAAAAGGUGAAUUUGUCAUAAGUAUAUUAAUCUAAAAUUUUUCAUGAUAUUAACCCUUUAUGUAUCAAGUCGCAAAUAUGUACAAAUUAGUUUUACAAAAGAACAUCAACAAAUAUUCUAAGAAAAGCAAUCUCUUAGUUCGGUAACUCAAAAAAAGAAAAAGAAAAAAGAGUCGGUAACAAAAAUGGCUUUAAUCAAUUGUAAAAUAUUCAUACCCAUAUAAUCCAGAAUUUAGUCAUCGUGCAUGUAUAAAUAUUGAAUCGCCACGAACGUAAUUUUUUCUUUUGGGGGGCUUGGUUGUGCACAUAAUAGAAAUUCUGACUAAAAAAGUACAUAAUAUAUAUUUCAUAUGUUGCUUUGUCAUUCAAAAUUUAUAAUAUAAACAGGUAAUACAUGAUAAAAUUAUAAGAUAUUACUGAACUAAAGAAAUUAAAAAAAAAAAAAAAAAAUCCCCCCCAUGGAUUUGUUCAUACCUCUGCCGCAUCCAUCUAACUUUUGACCGCUUGGCCUGAGACAAACACUCUUAAAGAAGGGACGGGCAAGAUUUCCUCCAUGUUGGUACAUCAGAACAGGCUUUAGCAAUAGUUACCAUGGGGGAGUCAAGUUGCUUUUUGGCCUUUGGUCACUAGACAUUAUUAAAGCUUCGUAUCAUGUCGACCUCGCUGCUGUAGAGGGCAGUACGAUUCUUGAUAGUUGAGGGACCCAAAUCAAUCGUCAAUCAUACUGCCUUGUCCGUCCUUAAGACUUCAUACAUGUGACCACCAAUAUUGAGAAGGAUACGGAGAGAACUUGUUUCGCAAGGGUAAGAGAGAGAGACUCACCUUUUGACCGGAGACUUCUCAAAGCUCCUUCAGUUGUUUCAUAUCAGUCAUAUUGAGCUGAUCACACAACUACUGCAUCCAUUCAACUUUUGACCGCUUAAUAGGAGUGAUCGGGUCUAGAGUUAAUAGGGUCUAGACCUGAAUUCUGUACUCGACCCUGUUAUAGCCGAUUUUUUUUUUUUUAAAAUUAUGUAUCCGACCCUAUUUGCAUUAGAUCAUGUUCCCGACCCACUCUAUUUUUCCGGUCCGAGAACAGGUUAACCAUGUUUAUAUUGAAACAUUGUUUUGCAUAAAAAUUGAUGUACAACACUCAUCUGUAAGAUAAAACGUUUACAAUCUUGAUCAAUAUAAGCACAUCCACACUGAUAAAUAGUCCCCAAUUUUAGCCAACCUUUUCCUCUCGACUUCCCAUAUUGUUAUCCUCAAAUUUAAAGGCAACAUUAAAGUUGAUUUGCUCCUGACGGUUGAGCUUAUGGGUGAGUCUUACUUAUAUGAUGGUUCCAAGUGGAAGCAUUUAAGGUGACAAGACAAAAGACAACCCUAAAAUGAAGAACUGUCAACCAGAUCCAGCGCAGGACCAAGUAAUCAGAUAUUAUAUAAAUAAAAAACUAUUGAUUAUAAUAACCAUUGCCCACUGAAUGAGAAUAUCUAAAGGUGCCUUGCCUUAUCAUCACCUUAGUAGUUCACUUUCCACAACGGAUUAGCAUGGUCCAAGGAGAUUUUACGGCAAUAGAACAGAUGAUGAAACCCAUUUGCCAGUAUCAUGUUCAAUCAACAAAAGUUAAUUUAAGCCAUGUAUCAUUCAAAGCUCUUGGAAAAUUUCUGCAUAAUUAUCUCAAAUAAAGAAGCUAGUAAAUACAGAAAUGAAAGAUGAGUUCCUAAAUGUAUUCCUCUCACAUUAUAGAACUAAAUAAGUUUUUCCCUCAGAUAUAAAAGUUAAAAAGUGAAACCAAUAAAACAAGAAAUAACAAUUGACUACCUAUUUCAAUUUUCAUCCCUUUCAAACACUAAACUAAUCAAGUUUAUUCACAUAUAUAAAUUCGAAUAAUGCGGAAUAUGAUAAUAGUCAAAUAUAGUGAAUUUGCCACUCAGGCACAUGUACACUGUUUAGCGUGUCAAAGGAUUUGUCAAUAGAAUGAACAAUGGCAAUUUCUCAUUGCUUAUGAAACUUACAAUAGGGCCUGCCAACAAGGAGGUCCUAGAAUCUGCAAUGGUCGAACAACCACUAGCACAAAAUCCUGAAAAGAGAGUUUGUAAUCACUUAAUGCCAUAAGGAGGAGGAAAAGAAUGAUAAUUGAUCCAGAAACACAUAAUAACAAUAUGCAUAAACACUUACCAGUAGUUUCAUUUCCAAUGAGGACAUCGGCCAUCUUAAAUUGUCAAUUGAAAAAAGAACCAAUUAAAUAGACACUUAAAUGCAAUGCCCGAAGUAUGGACAAAAAACCUAUUAGGUCUUGGUAGCCAACUUGCCAGUAGCCUUUCUAAGUCACGGGAACAUAUAUAUGCUCUACCUUAUGGCUUAUAGUCACUAGAAGCAGCCCCAUCAAACACAAUUUCACCUCCUUCUUCCCCUUCAGUGUUGCGAUUUAACCAAAAUGAAAAUACUGGCUCCUUGAUAAGCCCUUGAUUGACCAUAUUAUACCUGCACAUAUCCUCUAAUUUAGAGAUUCAAUAAAGGUACAAAGGAAAGGAAUAAUUUCAAAUGAUAAGACACUGGUUUGUAAAUACACUCCUAAAGGUGCUGAAUGGCAUCUAACAGUUAGUUGUGGGCAUGCACUGACUUACCACACAGGAGUAGCGUCACCCACUAAGAUCUCUUUAAACCCAAGUCCAAGUAUACCAUCAAACUUUGCAGCCAAGAAUGUGAUGCUUGGCUCCUUGGUAGAUUCAAUAAAUUCCUGAAAGCCAAUGUAACUGCCCAGGUAAGUCUAUUGUCUUGUGGAACAACAAUUGCAUAAAUCAUAAGUGUUCAUACCCGAUCCUUAACAACAAGAUCACCAACUUUGACAUGGUCUUGGCUAAAAAAGCCCGAAAUGGCUCUAGUGCCAUAAUGGAUUUCAGCAAGUAAAGAACAGCCCAAGUGCCAUAACUUGGCACGGAUGGACACUUAAGUGCCAUAACUUUAAAAUGGUACACUUGAGUGCUAGUUUUGAAGUUAAAUGGGACACUUAAGUGCCACUCCGGCAAAAAUCCGGCCAAAUGGCUGACGUGGCGAAUUUCCGGCAAGUUUGGUCCAAAACGGCGUCGUUUUGCACGCUGACGUGGCGGAGAAAAUGCAAAAACGACGCCGUUUCGUGUCUACGUGUAAAUAAUAAUAUAAAAAUUAAUUAAAUUAGAUUUAAAAUUAAUUUUAUUUAAAAUAUUCAAAAUCUUUAAAAAAUUAAGAAAUUUUUUUUAAAAUUUAGAAAAAGUUAAAAUUUUAAAAAUUUUAAANNNNNNNNNNNNNNNNNNNNNNNNNNNNNNNNNNNNNNNNNNNNNNNNNNNNNNNNNNNNNNNNNNNNNNNNNNNNNNNNNNNNNNNNNNNNNNNNNNNNGUUUAACUUUUUUCCUGAAUAUUUUAAGUAAAAUUAAUUUUAAAGUCUAAUUUAGUUAAUUUUUAUAUUAUUAUUUACACGUAGACACAAAACCGGCGUCGUUUUUGCGUUUUCUACGCCACAUCAGCGUGCAAAACGACGUUGUUUUGGACCAAACUUGCCAGAAAAUGGCCACGUCAGCCAUUUGGCCGGAUUUUCGCCGGAGUGGCACUUAAGUGUCCCAUUUUACUCCGAUAUUGGCACUUAAGUGUACCAUUUUAAAGUUAUGGCACUUAAGUGUCCCUCCGUGCCAAGUUAUGACACUCCAGGUGUUCCAAAGUCGGAUUUCAGCAGACUUCCUUGAAUCCAAAGAAGACAAAAAGAAUAAAGACAUGGUUAAUCUCCACAGUCAAAGAGGAGAGUGAUAUGACUGUAGAAUUGUUUAUGAUCCUUGCUUUAUAUUGUCAAGUGUGAUGUUAGAUAAUUUCUUUAGGAAGUGUUCAAAUCUUAAACUUCACCCAGUAUCAAAACAAGAUAAACAAAUCUAAUCAAAACUUCAAAUCAAUAUACGGUCUUUGAAUGCAAGUAGUGCCCAGGUUUCCAUCACAGUUAGUAAUGUCCAAUUUAGAGAUUGGUUAUUUAAAAUUUCAAAUACAAUAAAAAUAGUGCAGCUGCAUGGCAAGAUAAAGAAUUGCAGGAGGAAGAGAUGACAAAAAAUGUUGUUAAAACACUAUUAGUUAGAACAGGAGCAACUUUCCAUACCGUUCUUUUUGUAGGUACUUGAAUCACUGGACUUGAACUUUGAGUGAAAACAACAAGCAGCUUGAACCAGAAGGCGAAAUCUUUAGUCAAUGUCGCAAAAAAUUUCAUCAGUUGAACCAAGUUUAGAUGGUACCAAUUUGAGACAGAAUACUACAAAGACUGACCGAAAGGUAACACUUUGAUGAGGGUACCCAAAGCGACGGGGAGUUGGCGAUGGCGCGACGAGGAAGCAGAUGAACGCAAAUGAGGAAGCAGCAUGACGGGGAGCUGGAUCUGGCGGCGAAGCUCGAGAGGGGAGCUCAGAGCAAGGCUGGUGAGCAGCCAAGAACCAGGUUGAUAGAGGCGGCGUCGCGAUUUCGAGGGGCACGGAGCAGGAAGAGGUGGAGUGGUGAUGUGGGGAUCUCACAGGCUGCGGGUGUCAUGGGAGGAAGGCGACGGUGGGCGAGCAGAAGUAGCGUCAGCGCUCGAAUGGAACCAGGAUUGGCAAAGGUUGUGAGCUCGGGGAAGUUUGCGGGUGUGAGAGCCUGAGAGGUAAAGAAUAAAGAUAAAAACAAAUUCGGGUUUUGGUCUUUUUGGGUUGCCUUAAACAUCGGUUCUCAAACUGGUUCUGAACUAGUCCGGUUGAUCCGGUUUCCGGGUGGAUAAUCCCUCGGAACCCGUUCCCAAACCGGUUCAAACAGGGUCUGAAUUUUGGGAAUCGAUUCCGGGACAGGUUUCAACUGGAACCGGUUCUCAACCCUGUUUUUCGGGUGGGUCAGACCGAGAACCGGGUAAACCCAGUUCGGUUGUACACCCCUACCGCUUAGGCAGGAUUGCCUCCUUGUUAGUACAUCAGGGUAGGCGUGGCAAUAGUUAACCAUGGUGGUAGAGUCAAGUUGUUUUCUAGCCCUUUGUUGGUCACGUGGCUAGUAUUAAAACUUCGUGUCAUGUCGACCUCGCUGCUGCAGAGGGCAAUAUGACUCCAUGCACGGGCAAGGUAAAGAUUUAGGCCUCAGCAAAAGCCGAGGGACUCAACUCAACUGUACUGCCACGUCCGUUGUCUAGACUUCAUACAUGUGAACGCCAAUAUUAAGAAGAUACGGAGAGAUCUUGUUUCAAAAGGGUGAGAGAGAGAGAGAGAGAGAGAGAGAGAGAGAGAGAGAGAGAGAGAUCCAACUUUUGACGAGAAAAUAUUAGCUGCAGCUCUAACUCCAGCGUUGCAUAGUCUGAGUCCAUUCAUCGAGUCACCAUCACAUUCCUUGAUGGUUGGGGUUCGUUGCUACUAGUUCUGAGUGAGCUUCUUGCUUGGGUCGUCGCUGAUGAGGGAGGAAGAUGGAGGAAGGAGAAGCAGUCGCAGUCGCAGUCUUCAGAGAGAGAUCUCCACUAGGUCGAAUCACACUCGUGCUUCCGCUUAGGGUCGCCAUUGCAUUCAUUGAUGGCGGGGUCUGUUGCUGCUAGUUCUGAGCGAGCUUCUCGCUUGGGUCAUCGCCGUUGAGGAGGAAGACAAAGGAAGGAGAAGGGAAGAACAUGAGAAGAGAGAGAAAUAGCCCUUGAAAACUGAAAAGAGGAGAGGGGCUUUUUUAAGCAGGAGUGCGCGCAUUUAUUAUUUUGUCUUUUCUCUCUCUAUCAACUAGAGGAGAGAGAAUCGACUUUCCCCAUUUUCUAAAGGGAGCCUGAUUCCAGCGUGGCACCCGGGCAACACGUGUCGCCCGGUGAAUGGACUUUGACUAUGCCACGUUGGAGUCAGAGCUACAGCUAAUAUUUUCUCACUUUGGACCGGCGAUUUGUCCAGCUCCUUCGAUCGCUUCUUAUCAGUCAUAUUGAGCUGGCCACACCACUGCUACCUUCUUAUCAGUCAUAUUGAGCUGGCCACACCACUGCUACAUCCAUUCAACUUUAGAUGGCUUGGCUUGAUAUAAAAACUCUUAAAGAAGGGAUGACAAGAUUGAUUCCAUGUUAGUACAACAAGGGAGGUGGAGUCAGGUUGCUUGCUAGCCCUUCAUUGGUCAUGUAGCCAUUAUUAAAGUUUCGUGUCAUGUCAACCUCGCUGCUGCAGGGGGCGGUACGACCCCAUGCCUAGGCAGGCUAAGGCUUAAACUUCAUGAAUGUGAAUGCCAAUAUCGAGAUCUUAUUUCCAAAGGGGAGAUGGAAGACUCGUUGCAAUGGAGGCUUGGGUGGGGCAACCCACCAUUUUUGUCAGGAUACAGUCAGUGCGUGUUUGCAUUGUUGAAAUAAUAGUCAUUUCUUUUUGCAUGUUUUGCUGAUUUGGUUCUUCAGUUAUUGAAGUUAGUGGAGUCAGUUGUCCUAGUUUUUAGGUGUUAGUGGAGUAAGUGCUUUAUGCUGAACAUGAGUAGUUAUAGGUUUUCUUUUAGUGGUGUUUUAUGUUAUGUAUUCGUCUUUUAUACUUUGUUGUUCUGAAUGAAAGAGGAAGUUUCAACCUUAUCUCUCCUCCCCUAUAGCUUUUCUACAGUGAUAUUAGAGCCUGAAAGAAGCGUGAGAGAGUUUUUUUUUUUUUUUUUAUUAUAAAAAAUACUGAUAAAGAAGUUUUAGAGGUGUAAGAUACGCUCGUGAGAUAAUUGCACUAGCAAUAUUUCCAAUGGCCACCGACAAUUUUGUUCAACCAUCAAUUCCAUGCUUUGAUGGUUAUUAUGACCAUUGGAGCAUGCUAAUGGAGAAUUUUUUACGAUCAAAGAAGUAUUGGUCGGUUGUCGAAUUUGGAAUUCAAGAGCCACUAGCAGGCAUGGCUUUGACAGAUUCCCAGAAAGCAUAAUUGGAAGCUAGAAAGUUGAAGGACCUAAAGGCAAAAAAUUAUUUUUUUCAGACUAUUGAUCGUCCCAUCUUGGAGAUAUUCUUUGCAAAGAAACUUCCAAGAAUAUUUGGGAUUCUAUGAAGAAGAAAUAUCAAGGCUUUGUUAGGGUGAAGCGUGUAUAGCUUCAAGCCUUGAGAAGAGAUUUUGAGACAUUAGUGAUGAAGGAUGGAGAAUCGGUCACUACUUAUUAUGCCAGAACAAUGGAGAUUAGCAACAAGAUGCGAUUCCAUGGCGAGAAGAUAGACGACGUCACCAUUGUGGAAAAGAUUUUGCGUUCCUUGACACCAAAGUUUAAUUAUGUUGUCUGCUCAAUUGAAGAGUCAAAAGACAUAGAUGCGCUCUCUCUUGAUGAAUUGCAAAGCUCUUUAUUGGUUCAGGAACAGAAGAUGAACAGAAGUUCAACAGUAGAGAAGCAAGUAUUGAAGGCUUAUACCAAUACUCAUUCCAACAAUUUCAGAGGAAGGGGUAGAGGUAGAGGUAGAAGAAGGGGAUAUAACAGAAAUAGAGAUGUUGGUAGGAAUUUUAAAACCAAUAAUGACCAAUUUCAAGGCAAAGGCAGAUGACAGGAUCCUAACAAAUCUAAGGUAGAAUGUUUUAGAUGUCAUAAAUUUGGUCAUUAUGCAUCUGAAUGUUAUACUAGGGCCGUUUAAUAAUAAAGAAAAGGCAUAAAGUUCAAAUUUUGUAGAAGAAAAUGAAGUAGAAACGUUGUUGAUGGCUAUUCAAGAUGAAAAGAAGGGCGAGUCAAAUAUUUGAUAUGUGGAUACAAGUUGCAGUAACCACAUGAGUGGAAGUAAGUCUUUUUUUUCUUAUCUAAAUGAAGAUUUUCAUUCCAUUGUGAGUUUUGGAGAUCAUUCUACAGUGAAAGUGAUGGGAUAAUGUGAUAUUAAGAUAAGAAUCAAUAAUGAUUUUGUGGAAACGAUCUCUAAUGUGUUGUAUGUUCCUGACCUGAAAAGUAACCUAUUGAGUGUUGGUCAAUUACAAGAAAAAGGGUUAUGUAAUCACCAUUCAGAGGGGUGCUUGUGAAAUUUAUGAUUCUAUUAGAGGUGCUAUUGCAGUUGUUCCUAUGAGUUCAAAUAGAUUGUUUCCAUUAAAUAUUGAAAAUAUUCAAUCUUGUUUGAUGGUUGAAAAGAAAGAUCCCUCAUGGCUGUGGCAUUUUCGUUAUGGUCACUUAAGUUUUGGUGGAUUAAAGACCCUCCAAUAGAAAAACAUGGUGACAGGUCUUCCUCAAAUUAUUAUUCCUUCCCAAGCCUGCGAAGAAUGUGUUGUUAGCAAACAACAUUGUUCUCAAUUAAAAAAAGAAGAAGAAGUCAUGGAUAACAAAUGAUGUUUUAUUCGAACAUUUGCAGUCCUAUAAACCCAUCUUCUAAUGGAGGUAAAAGAUACUUAAUUACCUUCAUUAAUAAUUUUUCUAGAAAAACUUGGGUUUACUUUUUAUAGGAAAAAUCAGAAACUUUCUCCACAUUUAAAAGCUUUAAAGCUCGUGUGGAAAAUGAAGCAGGAAAGACCAUUAAGACCCUUUGAACAAAUCGUGGUGGUGAAUAUUGCUCAAAAGAAUUUAAAGCUUUUUGUGCAGAGCAUGGCAUUCGAAGAGAGCUUACUACUAUAUAUACACCACAACAUAAUGGUGUAUCUGAGAGGAAAAAUAGAACUACUCUCAACAUGGUGAGAAGCUUAUUGGCAAGAGGAAGAGUUUCAAAGACUUUCUGCCAGAAGUAGUAAAUUAGAGUAUUCAUGUUUUGAACAGAAAUCUAACUUUUGUUGUUCAAAAUAUGACACUAGUAGAGGCUUGGAGUGGGAGAAAACUGGCUGUAGAUCACUUCAGAAUCUUUGGAUGCAUCGCAUAUGCCCAUGUCCUGAGAAAAGGAAGAAACUUGAUGACAAUGCUGAAAAAUGUGUCUUUCUUAGUGUAAGUGAAGUAUCCAAAGCAUAUAAAUUAUUCAAUCCACUAACAAAGAAGAUUGUGACUAGUAGGGAUGUUAUUUUUUUAUGAAGAGAACACUUGGGAUUGGAAUAGGCAGCAGCCUACCCAAGACCUUUAUAACAAUGAUGCUGAAUAGGAGCAAAUUUCAGCACCUUGUAUGCCUAAUAAUUCAUUAAAUAUGACUUCUACAGCUGUUGGAAUUUCGCCAAUAGGCGCUGAAGUCAAUGAAGAAGAAGCUCAAUCUCUUCGCCGUAUUAGAAGAAGGCUUGCUUGGAUGGAAGAUUAUGAGGUAACUAGAAUUAGAGAUUCAAUUACUCAUUUUGCCUUAUUUUCAAACUAUGAUCCUACAACUUUUGAGAGUGCUGUAAAAAAAAUGGUGAAAAGCAAUGGAUAAUGAAAUUAAUUCCAUAGAAAGAAAUGAUACUUUGGAGUUAUCUGAUCUUCCGGAUGGACAAAAAGCCAUUGGUGUAAAGUGGAUCUUUAAAACAAAACCGAAAGAAAAUGGUGAAGUUGACAAAUAUAAAGCACGUUUGGUAGCCAAGGGAUACAAGCAACAAUAUGGGAUCGACUAUGCAUAAGUUUUUUCUCCAGUUGCGAGACAUGAUAUGAUCAGAUUGGUGGUUGCAUUGGCGGCACAGAAUUCUUGGCCUAUUUUCCAGCUAUAUAUCAUAUCGGCAUUAUUGCAUAGGUACUUGGAGAAAUAGGUAUUUAUCGAGCAACCCCCUGGUUAUGUUAAUAUUGGAAAUGAGCAUAAAGUUUAUAGAUUGAAGAAAGCUCUUUACGGGCUAAAACAAGCCCAUCGGGUUUGGUAUAGUUGUAUUGAAACUUAUUUUCUUAAAGUUGGUUUUUCAAAAUGUCCUUAUGAGAAUACGUUUUUUGUCAAUAUUGGAGAUAAAGAGAAAAUACUCAUUGUUUGCUUGUAUGUUGACGAUCUUAUAUUUACUGGAAGUUGUGAUGACAUGUUUGAAGAAUUUAAGAAAUCUAUAAUGGACGAGUUUGAAAUGUCUGAUCUUAGUAUGAAACAUUACUUCCUUGGCAUAGAAGCGGUACAAUCGGAUGAUAGGAUCUUUAUUUCUUAAAAGAAAUAUGUGGGAGAAAUUUUGGACAAGUUCAGAUGAAGGAUUGUAAUCCUAUAAACACUUUAGUUGAGUUUGGCUUAAAGCUAUUCAAAGAUAAUGAAGGGAGGAAGGCUGAUAGCAUACUUUACAAACAAAUUGUAGGCAGUUUGAUGUAUCUAACUGCAACAAGACCAGACAUAAUGUAUUAUGUGAGUUUAAUCAGUAGAUAUAUGGAAAAUCCUACAGAAAUGCAUUUGUUAGCUGCCAAGAGAAUCAUUCGUUACUUGAAAGGAACUAUAGACUUUGGGUUAUUUUACAAGAAUGGUGAAAAGUCCAAUUUGUUAUGAUUGACUGAUAGUAACUAUGCAAGAGAUCAAGAUGAUAGGAGGAGCACUUCGAGUUAUGCUUUUAUGUUUGGGACAUGUGCUAUUUCGUGGUCAUCCAAGAAGCAACCAAUUGUCACAUUAUCAAGUACAGAAGCUGAAUUUGUUGCUGCAACAGCUAGUACUUGUCAAGCUAUUUGGCUAAGGAGAAUUCUUGAGGAGCUGCAAUUCAAAUAACCAGGAGCUACUAAAAAUUUUUGUGACAAUAACUCAACAAUCAAACUCUCCAAAAAUCCUGUGCUACAUGGAAGAAGCAAGCACAUUGAUAUGAAGUUUUAUUUCUUAAGAGAUCUUAACAAUGAUGGAACAAUUGAUCUAAUCUACUGCAGGAGUGAAGAUCAAGUUGUUGAUAUAUUCACCAAGGCCCUCAAGAUGAAGUCAUUUGUGAAGCUGAGAAGGUUACUAGGUGUUUGCAUGUUGAAAACGGUCAAGACUUUAAACUGAAUGUUAGUAAACAUCAGUUUAAGGGAGGGAUUGUUGAAAUAAUAAUUAUUUCUUUUUGCACGUUUUGCUGAUUUGGUUCUUCAGUUAUUGAAGUUAGUGGAGUCAGUUGUCAUAGUUUUUAGGUGUUAGCAGAGUAAGUGCUUUAUACAGAACAUGGAUAAUUAUGGGUUCUCUUUUAGUGAUGUUUUACGUCAUGUAUUUGUCUUUUGUAAAAAGACUUCGUUGUUUUGAAUGAAAGAGGAAGUUUCAGCCUCAUCUCUCCUCCCCUUUAGCUUUUCUACAUGCGCAACCAUAUAUAUUUAUAUAUAGAGUCCCAAUUCUGUAGAAACUAUCUUGCUAAUAAUAGCAGCAAAUAAUAGCAACAAAUAUUCUUAAACAAGCGACCUCUUGAUUCGGUAAUAAAAAUGGUUUUAAUCGAUGGUAAAACAUACCCCAUGUAAUCCAAAAUCAAGUCAUUGUGCACGUAUAAAUAUUGUAGCCCCAGAAUGGAAGCUUUUAUUUAUUUAUUUAUGCUGAUUGUGCACAUAAUAGAAAGAAUAAUGAUGAGGUGACGGCACCGUUACUCCUUGGAGAGUAACGUUGCUCCCCUAACCACAAGCUUAGAUUAAAAAAAUAAAUUAAAUAAAAAAGAAAAUAGAAAAAUCCUAAGGAAUUGAAGAGAGUUUUAUUGAAAGCAUUAUCAACAUGAAAUAAUUUACAUUUCAUGUAGAAAGACCAGUCCAAACAUUUUUAUUAUAAGACAAAUAAAUUAGAAUUUCUAUUGACAACAUCACUAUUUAAAACAUUCUUCACACUUGCAGUCAUGAAAAAAUUAUAUUCAUCAUUUAACAAAAUUGAAACAAUUACCAAAAUUAGCCCUUGAAUAUUUAUUUAUACAACUGAAAACACUGAUAAAUUCAACUUGAGCCAAAGCAAUCCAAGUCAACUCAAAGAUCAUUUUGUAACUAUCCAAAAUUGAAAUUUAUUUAAAAAUGUAUAGUAUAUUGAAUUUGUUUGAUUAACUUUUUUGCCUCAAUUCACUUUUUUAUAUUUUGUAUAGCCCAACUUUUUCAUCAUGCUAGUCAAAUUUCAAUUUAACACAUCUUAACUAGAUAAGUAUAUAUUGUGUCUACAUUCAACAACACAAUGAGACUGAUUGUAGUAUACAUAAUUUUUCACUUAUUUGAUAAUGUCUUGGAAUGUAAUUAAAUUAGUGAAAUACACGUGUGGAUUACUAGGAUGACUUUCUUUAUAUCAAUAAUAUGUGAAAAUAUUGUUGCAAGUACACUAUGAAGAAUUGAGUUUUACAUUUAAAUAGUUAAUCAAAGCUGUUAAAAAAAGUUCACAGGCAUAAGUAUAUUUCCCUUUCGUUAAUUUUUAUUGACUAUUUGAAAAAAAAAAAACUGUCCAAAUUCUGAGAAAAUUUUGUCCACAUUCUUUCUGAAAUUUGUGUGGUUGAAAAGGCACCGUUAUUCAUGGAGAAUAACUGUGCUGUCAGCCCAGCAACGUCCUAAUAGAAAUUGUAGCUCAAAGAGUAUGUAUUCCAUAUGUAGCUUUGGCAUUCAUUUUACUAAAAAAAGUAAUACAGGAUAAAAUUAUGCAAUAUUAAUGAACGAAAUAAUUUUAAAAAAUCUCUCCACCCUACAUAAAAACAUCUCCAUGCACCAUUGUAGAGGAUAAAGAGGUUGUCUUGUUCAUCCACUUUGUCCCUUUAUGCAAAUCAUCUCUACUUCCUCAAUUCUUAUAAUAGCUCGAUGGGCAAAAAUUUAUUUAUAUAUGGAAUGAGGAAAAGCAAAACAGAUUUGAAUGCAAAAUAUGGACGAAGGAGGGAGAGCCUCGACAAGCAAUCAAUGGAGAAAGAAACACCAGGAACUUUUUACAGGAAUACGUAAUUAUCAACGGCCGAGAUUUAAUACCUGUCAUCCAGCAAUUUAGAACCUUAAUAAAGACCCAAACAUGAGGAAGAAAGAGGAGAUAGGUAGGGACCAUGGAACUAUGUAGCCUAACCUUCGUUAAUGCCUUGACUAAACAGCUUCUUGUCUGCCGUGAUGAGGUUUUGGAUGAUGAGGUUUUAGUCUUAAACCAGCUUCUUGUCUGCCAUUAUUAGGAGAAGGAACGGAAAGAACAACAAUAGAAAUGGAUGGGCAUUACGUAACAUUUAUGCACAUUAUAACACUAGGACAUGUAAGUAUAUAUUAAAUUCCACCUAUCUAAACCGCAGGUGGGCAUAUUGAAGUUAGGUUGCUCCUAAUGGGAUAAAACAAUAAACAUGUAUAUUUUUUGACCAAGGAAGCUUUGCUAUGAUAUAAUCUAUGAUAUAAUCAUUGUUUUUUUUUUUUUUUUCGGUGACCGAGGAUUCGCCGGAACCUGCCCUUGUCAGUUUAUGCCGAUUUGGGGUCUCACGGGCCUCAGCGGUGGAGGCCCAAUAGCGACUAUACCUCGGGGGAAACUGGUUUAGCAACCCAUCGCCGGGGCCCUCCGCUUUAAUCGCUAACAACGUAGAGUUUCGAACUCUUAACCUUCUUUGCUGGAGGAGAGAUCUCAACCAAUUGUACUGCCCACGGGUGGGUUAUUAUAUAAUCAUUGUUGCUUGGUAAAAAGGGGAAAAAAACAAAUUGAAGCUUGAAGGUUUGCAAUUCAAUUUGAUCCAUAACCACCCGGUUUUCUUGUCCAUCUAAUAUAAUCUGAUUAUAUAUUCUUGGUAGAGCAUAUCUAGGUGAUAAUGACAGAAUUGAAGAGAAACUAACAAUUUAAAAAAAAAAUUAUCAUCAUUUAAAAAUAAUUUUUUUUAUAGAGUGUUUUUGGACACUCAUUGAGCAAUCGACGACGAAAAUUUUGCAGCUUUCAAUUAGAGGUGUUAAAUGGGUUGUGCAACCCAUUUAUGGUUAAAUGGGUCAUUAAUGGGUCAAGCUUUAUCUUAUAAAGCACCCAUAAUAAGUUUUAAUGGGUAAACACUAAGAUAUAUGGGUUUUAAAUGGGUCAGCUCUCUGACCCGUUUAUGACCCAUUUAUCAACCCAUUUAUCAACCCAUUUUUCACUCAAAACCUCAUUAUCUCUCUCUCUUCUCUUUAAUUUUACAAUUUUUUUUUAUAAAAAUCAAAAUUAUAAUUAUUUUUUCUUUCCUUUUUUUUUCUUUCCUUUUUUUUUUUCUUUUCUUUCUUCUAACUCCGGUCGCCGGCACGGCGAUGGCCGACGACCGGCCAGGCGAGCCUCGAGCUCGCCGGCGUCGGGCAAGCUCGAGCUCGCCGGAUCUGGCCAGGCGGAGGCCUCACCGACGCCCAGUGAGGCUUGAGCCUCGCCGAUCUGGCAAGACUCGAACUCAUCGGCGUUGGGCGAGGCUCGAACCUCGCUAGAUCCGGCGAGGGGCAAGCUCGAGCUCGCCGGCGUCGGCGACCCUGGCGAGCCAGCUCGCCUGUGGCCGGUCUCCGGCCGUAGUCGUGGCCGGCGGCCGGCCAAAGAAGAGGAAGAAGAAAAAAGAAAAAAGAAAAGAGAAAAAGAAAAUUAAAAAUAAUUAAAAUUUAAAUUUUUUUUAAAUAAAAAAAAAUUUAAAAUUUAAUUUUUUAAAAAUAAAAAAUAAUUAAAAUUCGAUUUUUUAAAUAAUUAUUUUUAAAAUUUGUAUUGUAUAAAAUCAUGUUAGCAAUACCAUUUUAAUAUAUAUAUAUAUAUAUAUAUAUAUAUAUAUAUAUAAAAGCUUUUUUAUGUUUUGUUAAAUGGGUCGGGUAUGGGUUGGGUAUAGGUCGGGUCGGGUAUGGGUAAAAAAAUUUGCACUGCAAUAAAUGGGUUAUAAACGGGUUAAAUGGGUCGCUUUGGGUCGGACCAUUUAUGACUCGACCCAAACCCGACCCGACCCACCCGUUUAACGGGUCUACUUUCAAUGUAUGGGCUCGUGUUGCGUAGAAUAGUAGUUGGGACCCAUAUGAUCAGUGUUUAAUGAUGAUACAUUUACGUAGAUUAAGUUUACAUAACAACUGCUCCACGAUUUGAUAACGGGAUCGGGUUCAUGUGACUACAUCAACGAAACCAUGAUGCCAUAUGAGCUAUGUGAUGUAUGGUGAUGGCGGAUGGGUGCAUUUGUGAAUUAUGUGAUGGGAGUGGUGAGAGAGAACUGAUGAACAACAAUAAAGUAGAAGUUUCGGGGUUGGGUUAGAUACAGGCCCACUUCUUUACAUUAUGAACUUUUGGUGGCUCUAAGGAUAAGUGCCGCAAAAAUCCUAAAACUUGUUACGAAAAUGUAAUUAAAUUCUAAAAUUUGCAAAAAGUGUAAUUAAGUACUAAAACUGGUUAAGAUAUUUCAAUCAAGUCUUAAACUCAAUGCCGUCAAAUUUCCUAACGGAAUUUUUUUUUAACUAUUCACCAUGUAAGAGAGAGAAAUGAUUAAAAAAAGCCACGUCUACGCCACGUCAGCUUUUUCCGUUAGGAAAUUUGACAGUGUCGAUUUUAGGACUCGAUUGAAAUAUUUUGACAAAUUUUAGGACUUUAUUGUACUUUUUGCAGGUUUUAGGACUUAAUUAUAUUUUCUUGACAAGUUUUAGGACUUCUCCAGCACUUAUCCCUGGCUUUAAUGAUUCCAAGACUUUGGUCCCAUUUCCGACCAACUUGCUUCAGAGAAAUUGAGGCAACAUAAAUGAAAUUAAAUCAAAUGAGACGCGAUGAAAUGCAAUGGCAGCUUCUUCCGAUAAAAGAAAGAGCACUUUACUGCUUAAUAAGUCCAUUGAUUCGCUCUAUCAUUUGAUGCUGUUGUCCUAGACGGAAGAACGUCUAUUUCCUCUCCGCUCUAUACCCUUUGUGUCAACCCUUCAGGACACUCUUGUUUAGUCCUCUGCUGCUCACAAACCAAGCCAUGCCCAUCGCGGAGCUCUUUCUUUGUGCCUUUCUUCAGGUGUUGUUCGAUAGGUUGACCUCUGUCGAGCUUCUCAACUUUGCCCGGCGCGAGGGAAUUGAUACGCGGUUGAAGGACUGGGAGCAGAUGCUGAAGAGUAUCCAAAAGGUGCUGGAUGAUGCAGAAGAUAAGCAACUCACCGACCAAGCCUGGGUGAAGUUGUGGCUAGAAGAUCUUAGAAACUUGGCCUACGACAUUGAAGACUUGCUUGAUGAGCUCGUCAUAGAAUCUGUUGAAAGCAAGUCCAAGACAGGACCCAGCACUAGCAAGGCACAUUCCCUUCUUCCCAGUUGUUGCUUCAAAUUGAGCCCGAGAGAAUUCACGUUCAACCACGAAAUGAGAUCCAAGAUAGAAGAGAUGGAUGCCACAUUACGGGAGAUCACGAAGAGAAAAGAUAAUCUGAGCCCCAUAGAGAAUAACGGGAAGCAAUCAACAAACCACUUACCAAGUAAGCCAAUUCCAACAACACAUUUGACUGAAAAUUGUUUUGUUGGGAGGGAGGAUAAAAUAAUGGAGAUUCUCAAAUUGCUAACCGGAGAAGAAGACGAUAGACCAUGUACGGAUAUAAAAGUAAUUCCCAUAGUAGGGAUGCCGGGUCUUGGGAAGACAGCUUUGGCUCAGCAAGUCUUCAAUGAUGCUGGAGUCACCAGCUAUUUUGAUGCAAAAGCAUGGGUUUGUGUUUCCAAUGAUUUUAACACGCUUGCUAUUACAAAGAGUAUCCUACAAAAAAUAAGUUGCUCUUUGUCUUGUGACAAUAAGGACUUGGAUUGGCUUCAAGAUGAGUUCAAACGAAACCUUUCAGGGAAGAAGUUUCUUGUUGUUUUGGACGAUGUUUGGAAUGAGAGCUAUAAAAAAUGGACUGACUUCUUGAAACCUUUUCAAUCAGGAGUGAAGGGAAGCAAAAUCAUCAUCACGACCCGUAACUUCCUAGUUGCUAAAAUAGCCGGUGCUAGACCCUAUACCCUUGAAGAGUUGUCACAAGAUGCUUGCGUGACUCUGUUUGCUUUUCAUGCUUUUGGAGUCGGAAAUUUUGAUGAUUAUCCUUGUCUUAAAGAAUUAGGUCUCCAAAUAGUGAAAAAAUGCAAAGGGUUGCCAUUAGUUGUGAAGACAUUGGCUGGAUUGCUACGCACUAAAGUUAGUUCCCAUGAAUGGCAAGCUAUAUUGGACAGCAAGAUUUGGGAUCUACAGAAAAAAGAAACGACAUCCUUCCAGCUUUAAAACUUAGCUACCUCGAUCUUCCUUCCAAUCUGAGGAGAUGUUUUGCUUACUGUGCUAUAUUUCCCAAAGACUAUGAAAUUCAGCGGGACGAGUUGAUUCAUUGGUGGAUUGCGGACGGCUUCGUGAAUGAAAAAAAAAGCAAAGAAUCAAUGGAAUGUAGGUUUGAAUUAUUUCAAUGAGCUAGUAAAUAGAUCGUUAUUUCAAAAGUCGAGUUGCAAUGAAUCACAAUUCCUAAUGCAUGAUCUUGUGAAUGACUUGGCAAAGCUAGUUGCAGGUGCACCCCAUUAUUGUUAAGAGGAAUUUGAGUUUGAUGUAUCUUUAGUUCAUCAUGCCUCAUUCCUUCCGAGUGAUAACAUUGUGCCAGAAAGACUCAAGAUAUAUCAUCGGAUGCAGAAACUUAGGAGCUUUAUAUCGUUAAAUAAGACAUAUCAUUUUUCCCGUGUGUCCCAGAAAGUGCUAUGUGACUUGUUGUCCGAAUUCAAGUACUUGAGGGUGCUUUCAUUGAAUUACUAUGUCAUCAACGAGGUACCAAAUUGCAUAGGCAAAUUGAGGCACCUAAGGCACCUUAAUCUGUCACAUACUCAUAUUAGAACGCUUCCAAAGUCAAUUGUUGCAUUGCACAACCUAGAAGCUUUGAUGUUGCAGGGCUGUGAAUACCUCAUUGAAUUACCUGAAGGUAUGGAAAAAUUGAUCAAUCUAAGAUUUCUUGACAUUACCAACACAAGAAGCCUAGAAAAGAUGCCAUUGUAUGUAGGUAAUUUGGUGGGUCUUGAGAUGUUGUCGAAGUUCAUAGUGGAAACAGGAAAUGGGUUGAGGUUGAAGGAGUUAAAAAACCUGGAGAACCUUAGAGGGGAAUUGUGCAUCUUUGAUUUGCAUAAGGUUCAAGAAGUCGAGGAUGCCAACGAUGCCAAUUUAUGCGUGAAGAAGGGAAUAUGCCGGUUGACCAUGCAAUGGAGUAUAGAUUUUGAAAUUUCCCGAAAUAUAGAUCUUGAAGGACAGGUCCUUAACUCUCUUCGCCCUCACCAAAACCUUGAAGAUCCUCNNNNNNNNNNNNNNNNNNNNNNNNNNNNNNNNNNNNNNNNNNNNNNNNNNNNNNNNNNNNNNNNNNNNNNNNNNNNNNNNNNNNNNNNNNNNNNNNNNNNNNNNNNNNNNNNNNNNNNNNNNNNNNNNNNNNNNNNNNNNNNNNNNNNNNNNNNNNNNNNNNNNNNNNNNNNNNNNNNNNNNNNNNNNNNNNNNNNNNNNNNNNNNNNNNNNNNNNNNNNNNNNNNNNNNNNNNNNNNNNNNNNNNNNNNNNNNNNNNNNNNNNNNNNNNNNNNNNNNNNNNNNNNNNNNNNNNNNNNNNNNNNNNNNNNNNNNNNNNNNNNNNNNNNNNNNNNNNNNNNNNNNNNNNNNNNNNNNNNNNNNNNNNNNNNNNNNNNNNNNNNNNNNNNNNNNNNNNNNNNNNNNNNNNNNNNNNNNNNNNNNNNNNNNNNNNNNNNNNNNNNNNNNNNNNNNNNNNNNNNNNNNNNNNNNNNNNNNNNNNNNNNNNNNNNNNNNNNNNNNNNNNNNNNNNNNNNNNNNNNNNNNNNNNNNNNNNNNNNNNNNNNNNNNNNNNNNNNNNNNNNNNNNNNNNNNNNNNNNNNNNNNNNNNNNNNNNNNNNNNNNNNNNNNNNNNNNNNNNNNNNNNNNNNNNNNNNNNNNNNNNNNNNNNNNNNNNNNNNNNNNNNNNNNNNNNNNNNNNNNNNNNNNNNNNNNNNNNNNNNNNNNNNNNNNNNNNNNNNNNNNNNNNNNNNNNNNNNNNNNNNNNNNNNNNNNNNNNNNNNNNNNNNNNNNNNNNNNNNNNNNNNNNNNNNNNNNNNNNNNNNNNNNNNNNNNNNNNNNNNNNNNNNNNNNNNNNNNNNNNNNNNNNNNNNNNNNNNNNNNNNNNNNNNNNNNNNNNNNNNNNNNNNNNNNNNNNNNNNNNNNNNNNNNNNNNNNNNNNNNNNNNNNNNNNNNNNNNNNNNNNNNNNNNNNNNNNNNNNNNNNNNNNNNNNNNNNNNNNNNNNNNNNNNNNNNNNNNNNNNNNNNNNNNNNNNNNNNNNNNNNNNNNNNNNNNNNNNNNNNNNNNNNNNNNNNNNNNNNNNNNNNNNNNNNNNNNNNNNNNNNNNNNNNNNNNNNNNNNNNNNNNNNNNNNNNNNNNNNNNNNNNNNNNNNNNNNNNNNNNNNNNNNNNNNNNNNNNNNNNNNNNNNNNNNNNNNNNNNNNNNNNNNNNNNNNNNNNNNNNNNNNNNNNNNNNNNNNNNNNNNNNNNNNNNNNNNNNNNNNNNNNNNNNNNNNNNNNNNNNNNNNNNNNNNNNNNNNNNNNNNNNNNNNNNNNNNNNNNNNNNNNNNNNNNNNNNNNNNNNNNNNNNNNNNNNNNNNNNNNNNNNNNNNNNNNNNNNNNNNNNNNNNNNNNNNNNNNNNNNNNNNNNNNNNNNNNNNNNNNNNNNNNNNNNNNNNNNNNNNNNNNNNNNNNNNNNNNNNNNNNNNNNNNNNNNNNNNNNNNNNNNNNNNNNNNNNNNNNNNNNNNNNNNNNNNNNNNNNNNNNNNNNNNNNNNNNNNNNNNNNNNNNNNNNNNNNNNNNNNNNNNNNNNNNNNNNNNNNNNNNNNNNNNNNNNNNNNNNNNNNNNNNNNNNNNNNNNNNNNNNNNNNNNNNNNNNNNNNNNNNNNNNNNNNNNNNNNNNNNNNNNNNNNNNNNNNNNNNNNNNNNNNNNNNNNNNNNNNNNNNNNNNNNNNNNNNNNNNNNNNNNNNNNNNNNNNNNNNNNNNNNNNNNNNNNNNNNNNNNNNNNNNNNNNNNNNNNNNNNNNNNNNNNNNNNNNNNNNNNNNNNNNNNNNNNNNNNNNNNNNNNNNNNNNNNNNNNNNNNNNNNNNNNNNNNNNNNNNNNNNNNNNNNNNNNNNNNNNNNNNNNNNNNNNNNNNNNNNNNNNNNNNNNNNNNNNNNNNNNNNNNNNNNNNNNNNNNNNNNNNNNNNNNNNNNNNNNNNNNNNNNNNNNNNNNNNNNACCUGCUCUAACCAUAAAUGAUGUUGUUGACCUGACUUGCUUAAAUCAUGGACUCACAAGCUCCCUGAUCAAGCUAGAGAAGUUGGAGAUUAGAGGGCUGUACAAAGUUUAAGAUAUUGUGGCAACGACGGAGAUGCAAUUCAGACUCUUCGUUGUUUGUAAGAGCUUAGUUGUACACAGUUGUCCGGAAUUCAUAUAUUUUGUGGCUGAAGAAGGAGAUAUAGAGCUGCCUAGCAAUCUCGAGACUAUCGAAUUGAUGAAGUGCGUCAAUUUAGAGAAGCUUCCAAGCACAAUGCACACUCUCUCCUCUCUUAGAGACUUGACGGUCUAUGGCUGUCCAAAACUCGUAUCUUUCCCAGAAACAGGUAUACCUACAUCAAUGAUAUCAUUAGAUAUCAUGGACUGCAAGAUGUUGCGAUCUUUACCUAGAGGAUUUUUACCCACAACUAUCAAGAGACUUGACAUUUAUGACUGCGGGGGGGUGGAGUCGCUCGCGGAGAUAAAUCUAGAUCCUCUCCAGUCUCUUCAAGAGAUUCAAAUUGUGUGUUGCGAGAAUUUGAGAAGCUUACCCCAGGGUCUGCACACGCUGUCUCAGCUCACUUCCUUGGUGUUGUCUGGUUGUCCUGCUUUGGAGGUAGAGUGCUUCCCUCCUCUUCCUCCCAGUAUCUUGGAAUUUUUUCUGUACAGUUGUCCGAAGAUAAAAUCGUUACCUAAUCAAUUGUAUCGGCUCACAUGUCUCCGAAAGCUGUCAAUUUGGAGGUGUGAGAGAUUCACGCGCUUUCCCGACGGAGGAUUGCCGCCCCAGCUAUGGGAACUUGAGGUGACUCAAUGUGAGAAUAUGAAGCAACCGGUGAGGGAGUGGCUCACCCCUCUCACCUCCCUUGGAAGGCUAAAUAUCGACGGUAGUGCAGGAGGAGUGGGAGAGGAGGAGGAUCUUGUGCUUCCGCUCCCUUCCUCUCUGCUCCAUCUCUCUAUCCAUGAUAUGGGGAAAGUGGAAAGACUGUCCAGCAGUCUCCCUCCCUCUCUACAGAACUUAUGGAUCCAGUGUUGCCUGAAGCUGAGGGAGUUGCCCCAGGAUAGCCUCCCUCCCUCCCUCGAAGAACUCCUUUUAUACAAUUGCCCAAUUCUAGAGAAGCGAUGCAAGAAAGGGACCGGCUGCUAUUGGCCCCUCAUUUGCGAAAUCCCACAAAUUACAUUAGGCAUGUAUAUAGGCUGAGGCCUGGCUCUUUCAUCAUCUGUGUCCUUCCCCUGUUGUUGUGUGCACCUCCAUCGCCACCGCUGCUUCGGCUCUCCACUCCGUCGUCGUCCUCACCUCCAUCUCCAUCUCAUGAAUAUAUUCCAAUUAAAACAGGUAAUCAAUCUUUCCGAUCACUACUCUUCAAUACUCGUAGUCACUUCUCUUCUCAGAUUUGGCAUCACUUCUCCCCUCUCCUUUUUUAACUGCUUCUUCCCAUGUUUUCAUCGCUCCAGCCAAAAUUUAGAUUUCUCAGCUGCUUUUUUUUGUUUUGUUUUUUUUUUGGCAUUCUGAGCAGUUCUCCGCACUCCUCCGAUUCUUUCGUUCUUGCUGUGCUCCGCCUCAUUCUCCAAGAUUCUCUCAAUCUUGCUCGCCUUUCAAGUUACAUUGGAAUUCCCAUCAGUGAAGUUUGCCGGUACCAUGCCUAGAAGAAGAUGUUGCUGAAGGUGGGGACCCUGAGAUGUGAGAUUGCUUCUCAUUGUAGAGACGAAGAGGGGAGAUGCCAUCUGCAGGCUCAGCUGUCAUUAGCAUCUUUGACCUUUUUGUGGGAACUCUUUCCCAUGAUGGUUCUCAAAUUACUCGCUGGGGAUAGAGGUAUGUAUAUAUGUUCUCUUUCCCUGUUUAUUAAUUAUCUGUUCUCCCCUGAUAUUCAAUCCAUUGGACAUAAUUUAUAUGAUAAAUAAAUAGCAAAAGACAAGUUUUGAAAAUGUUUGAAAGUUGCGUCGCAUCGAAAAAGCGUAGCUCAUAACUUCAUAUGGAUAGAGCAAGUUCAUGUCAUGUUAAUGGCAGUUAGGUGCUUUAAAUCCUCUUUCCUGCUUUAGUCUGGAAACUCCAUUUGAACACAUUUACAAAGUUGUGGAAUGUGCCUGAAUACUCUGAUUUCGAUAAGUGAAAAUUACUUUUGCAACAUUCACCAUAAGUGGAAGGAAAUCGAUAUUGACUCUCUGUCUGCAUUUACCGAUGCAAAGUACUUAUUCCGACACAAGCAAUCUUCUCAUUUCUGAGCAUACUGCGGCUCACGAUGGAAUCUAUGGGGCAAACGAAUUUUAUUGCAGCUCAACCCUCUGUUCCAUCAUUCUACUCACCAUCCAAGAUUAAGGAAUGGUUUAGUUGGUUUGAGUAUAGACACAAAUGAAGGCAUUUUGUGGACUGGGUAGCACUCAAUGAAAUCUUUCCCCAUUGUUCAUUUUGUAAUUAUUGCUAUUCUGCUUCAUGGAAUCAAAGAAGUGAGUAAAUUUGCUAUUUCUUUUGACUGGCUGUUUAAAAGCUGCUUAAAAGGUGGGUAAUAAUCAUGGGUUAUAAUCAGAAUCUAAAAAGAAUUUCUUCCGAAUGAUUUAGCAUAUUGUCGUCAUAUCCAACAAAUUAUCCAUGUUCUACUUGUUCAUUUCUAGCAUUCUAUCAAAACACACGUCAAUGAUUAAAAAUUUCUCGAAUGUUAUGUUGUUUGUUCUCAUUUCCCUGGUUAUCUCAUUGACGUGAUUACGUCCACCUUCUGUAGUGUGUGCGUAAGGGAUCAGUUCCAUGCAAGGGGAAUGUUAAGUUAUACUUUUUAUAUGCAUUGCUUGACAAGAUUUCUAACAGCUUAAGCUUUUACAAAAAUUUUUAGUCUAACAUGCAGCAAUCAAAUCAAAUGACAUGACCAAUCAGCAAACCCUAUGUUCUUGUUUGGUUUUUUCUUCUAGUAACUGUGGGAGACUUUCAGAUAGGGAUUAUAAGCUUCUCAAAAAAUCAAUGAAUUACAACAAGAUUUAAAGCUUGGACAGUUAAAAGCCCCUCAUAUGCCAGCGAACUUUAGCUUAUUAAAUCUGUUAUUCAUAGUGUGGUUAAGUUUUAGCGUCAACUCCUUUUGUUGCCCAAGAAAGAUUUUAAAAUGGUUGGCAAAAGUGUAGAGCUUUUCUUUGGAAGGGAGAUUCUUAUACUAAAGAGGGAGCAAAAGUUAGAUGGGACACCGUCUGUCGUCCUAAGAAGUCUCAAGGCCUUGGCAUUCAAAGACUUGGCAUUCAAAGACUGGAUUUGUGAAAUCUUGCUUGUAUUUUAAAGUGUCUGUGGAGUUUUUUGUUGAAGUGAAGUCUCUAUGUUUUUCCUGGCUCUAUAGCUAUCAUCUUGACAGUAGACCACAUGCUACUUAUGCUUUGAAGAAGUUAUUAAGAGUUGAGAAUAUUUUGAAACCCCACAUUAGAUAUAUAGUUGGAAAUGGAGAUAAUAUUUCUCUUAAUUUGAUUUGUGACACCGUACCGGGAUCUUGCCCUCAAGGAGAAUAAUUUAUGAAUCCUCUCUUCCUUCGCAUGCCAAAGUAUCUGCCGUAAUUUAUAACUCUCAUUGGAAACAUUAUGUUACUUAAAAAGGGUGUUUUUAAUUUUUGCAGAUAGCAAUUGGGCAAAACAAGGGGCUGUGAAAAAUGCCCCUUCCAUCAUCAUCUCCUUCUCCUUUGUUGUCUGCACCUUAAUCACCUAUGCUUCAUCUCUCCGCUCCCUUGUCCUCAAUUUCAUCACUGUCUUCAUCUCAUGAAGAUGUCAUUAAAAUCAGGUAUCAAUCUUGCCAUUUACUACUACUCUCUACUCUUCUACUCGUGGUCACUUUUCUUCUCAGAUUUGGCAUCGGUUCCCCUAUCAAUUGAAAUGCUUCGCAUAAUUUCUUUGAUCCAGCAAAAAUGAAAUAAAAAUCUGGGAUGUUAUUAACAGACUGUUGCAAUUAUAUUUGGAUUCUCAGCUUAUUUCUGCAUUCUAUCAGUUUUCUGCACUCAUCCAAUUCUUUUGUCAUCACUGUGCUCUGUCUCAUUCUCCAAGAUUCCCUAAAUCUUGCUUGCCUUUCAGAUUACAUUGGAAUUCCAUUUGUGAAUUGUGUUGGUAAGACCCAGCGACCUAUAGAAAGGUCUAUAUGCCCUUCCUUCACCAUCGCCUCACUGGUAUUAAGUCUAGGAGGAGAAGAUGCUGAAGGGGACCCUGGAUGUGAGAUUGCUCCUCAUUGUAGAGACAAAGGGACAUGCCACUGUGGGCUCUAUUCUUAAGAUCUGACUUUUGUGGAAACUUUUCCAUGAUUAGUUGGUUCUCAAAUUACUCACGAAGAUAGGUAUGUAUACAUGUUUCCUUUCCCCAUUCAGUAAGUGUCUGUUUUGCCCUGACGUUAGAUGAAUCUAAAGUCUAGACAUAAUUUAUAUGAUAAGUUAAUAGCAAAGACAAAUUUGAAAAUGUUUGAAAAUUGCAUCUCCUUGAAAAAGUGUAGCUCAGAACUUCGGAUGGAUAGAG
rnacentral:lncRNA from 1 species